CUCUCUUGCUCUCUAGUUGCUGCGUCGCUCUCUCCUCUCAAAUCCCUAGUAAAUCUUGUUGGGGCGAUCCGAGAGAAAGACUCUGCUGCAAACAUGUUGGUUUACCAAGACCUCCUCACUGGUAAUUUCCCCCGUUAUUUUAUUUUCCCCCUCUCUGUCUUAAAUUAGGGUUUUAGUUUUGUUCAUAUUAGUUUUCAGGGAUGAUACGAAGUUAGAUCUCUGUUAAAUCUCCAAAUUUUAGGUUAGGCUAGGGAUCUGAUUUUGUUCACUGGCGCCCAAUUUUCACUACUGCCGUAUUUGUCUUGUUGUUUCACAAAUUUCUUGAUCUAUAGCUGCUGUAUUUAUUUUGUGUUGAUUAUGUGCAAGUUUUGUUUUAUGUAAUCAGCUACUGGGCUGCAUGUUGUGUAUAUUUUGUCAAGCUACUGAAUUGUUCUGUUCCAACUGAUUUAAAAAAACCUAAUUAGUAGUUUUAAUCAGUAUUUCAAUGGCUUUCGAACUAUUUUUUAUAUUUUUGUUUGCAUAUGCAUGUGAUGUGGUUGGUGGAAGAUGUUUGGAUUGAAUAUAGCUUUGUCAUCAUGACGCAACUCUAAAACUUUGAUGGGUUAACUAAGUACUUUAACUUAGAUACUUUUAUAAGUUUGUUUGUGAUGUUCUUCUUGUUCGAUCUGAUUUUUUUUAUUGAGCUUAUAUAUAUCGAAGCUCUCGUUUCAAGUUGUUGACCAAUUUUAGUGUAUUCAUACUAGGUGAUGAGCUUCUCUCGGACUCGUUUCCAUACAAGGAAGUCCAUAAUGGAGUGUUGUGGGAAGUUGAUGGAAAGGUAGGUUCAUCAAUUUUGAACUUAACAAGCUUAACAGAUGGUUCUCGCAAUGAUUUUAAUUUAUUCGCGUAACUCAAACUUUGCAAGUAGAAAAUAAAGUCGGAUGAUGUAUUUAAUGUGUGGGUAUCAGGGUGGUUGUAUUGAGCUCUGCUGUUUUAUCUUAACUUCUACUGUUGCACAGUUGAUUAAAUGUAAGUUUGUAUGAUUGUUGUCUCCAGUGGGUUGUGCAAGGAGCAGUUGAUGUAGACAUUGGUGCAAAUCCCUCUGCUGAAGGUGGUGGGGAAGAUGAGGGUGUUGAUGAUCAAACCGUGAAGGUGGUUGACAUCGUUGACACAUUUAGGCUUCAGGUAUGUAGUGCCCGCUGUUCUGUUGGCCCCGAAACUUUGUCUCGGAUUAGGAAUUUUAUUGUUAUUGCCUGAUGCUUGCAGGAGCAACCUCCUUUCGACAAGAAGCAGUUUGUCACAUGGGUGAAGAGGUACAUCAAACUGUUGACACCCAAGCUGGAGGGGGAGAAACAAGAGGAAUUCAAGAAGAACAUUGAGGGAGCAACCAAGUUUCUGCUUUCGAAGCUCAGUGACCUCCAAUUGUAAGUUUUGUUGGUCCCUUUAGUGAUUUACCAUGUUAGUCAUCCCGUCGGUAGAAUACUUUGGCACUUGCUAUCAUUGUGGAAUUUUUACUCGAAAAAAGAUACAAGCAUUGAAUCACAUGUUCUUUUGCAGCUUUGUUGGGGAGAGCAUGCAUGAUGAUGGCGGUUUGGUGUUUGCCUACUACAAGGAGGGUGCCACUGACCCAACAUUUAUCUACUUUGCGCAUGGUUUGAGGGAGGUCAAGUGCUAAGUAUUGGCACAGCUGGCUUCAAGCAGAAUGCUUGUUGUAAUCCUAGUCUAUAUUGUUGCUUUUUUUUUUUUCUUCUCUAAAUUGGGGAAUCAGGAGUCUAUUUUUGCUUGUUUUCUUUAGAAUGUUUUGCAUUUGGUGACUUGAGGCUUUAUGCCACCUUCUAUCUCGGUUUUUAAUGGUAUUUUCGAAUUUCGACUUGGAUUUCUAAUUUAUUUGGCUCUAUGUUUUGAUUGAGAAAUAAGAAUAAUAUUGUAUUCUAGAUUUUAGCAGCUCCAAAUCUUCAUUCUUAUCUAUGCAUGCAUUUGUAUGUUAUAUCAUCUAUAUGUUAUAUAAUUCAUAAAUCUACAGGCUGUUUUUGGGUUUGUUUAUAGAAAUUAAAUAAUGUAGGGUUUAUCUAUAAUAUUAGUGUUAAAAAUAGAUAUAUGAUUAAAUAUCACUAAAAAAAAUUAUGGGCUGUUUUUGGGUUUGUUUAUAAAAAUUAAAUGGUGUAGGGUUUAUAUAUAAUAUUAAUGUUAAAAAUGGGUAUAUGAUUAAAUAUCAUUAAAAAAAUUAUGGGUUAUUUUUGGGUUUGUUUUUAGAAAUUAAAUGGUGUAGGAUUUAUAUAUAAUAUUAAUGUUAAAAAUGGAUAUAUGAUUAAAUAUCACUAAAAAAAAUCAUGGUUCAUUCAUUACUGUGACAAAUGCAAAUGGGUCUGCAGUACGAUGUAGACGGUGGAACUGUAGAAGCUUGUGCACCUGUACAGAGCUUUGGUACUUGACCUUGGCUAGUUGAAUUAUCAGUUUAACAACUUUGUAACAAACUCUCUUGUAGUUCAAGUGAUUAAGAAAUAAGUUUUAGUUCAAGUGAUUAAGAAAUAAGUUUUAGUUCAACCGAAAAAAGAAAUGGGUUUGCGACUUAAGCGGUUAAGAGGGAUAUCGAUCAAUUUUUCAGAAUUGUUAGAUAAUUAUUGUGAAGUUAAAGGAGGUAUGAUGUUAUUUUUGCCAAGAGUAAGAUGAUUGGGGAAGAAAGUCACAUUAUACAAUCCACUAGAUGGCUACGAAGUGCAAUUCAUUCAUUCCAUUACCCUGAAAUUUAUUUUUUGUUUUGUUUUGUCAAAUAAAUAACAACUUGCUCAAACAAAGAAAAAAUUCCGAAAUGAUAUUGGCCCUCUCAUUGACCCCCAAUGCAUAAAAUUUUAUUGAGACACUUGAUGAAAGGCUCAGGGCUUUGUGGGUUGCUUCACAAUCAUGACGGAGCAUUUAACAUGAUGAGCACAGUAGUCGCUUACACUUCCAAGAACUGCCCUGCAAGAGAUUCGAAUUUUGUGUCACGUAUUAGAAGAGCCUGAAGGAAGAAUAAAUAAAUAAAAAGAAUUUUGGAUUUGCAAAGUUCAAACAUGUACCUCUUUACAAUUCCAUAACCAUGACUUCCAACAACCAAAAGGGAGGCCUGAUGUUUAUCAACAGCGUCACACAUAACAUUUCUGGGAUCACCUUCCAUUACUUCCACUUCUACAUUUUCCACCUGCACUGUUGCUAAUUAACCGUAUUCGCUUGAUAAAUCACAUUAAUUAGCUGACCACAUAAUAUGCAGAAUGAUGCGUGAAUUAUCAAAAAAAUGGCAGAAUUUUGGAAAAAUAGCCUAGUGAGUGUUCAUAAUAACGUUGCAGACAUCACUUAAAGGAUUUUGUACUUACCUUUUUGCUGGUGCAAACAUCCUUAGCUUUCUGCACGGUCUUACCAGUGGAUUUCUUCAUAUCCGCCUCCAAAGAAGUCAUAAAGUCCACAGAACCUGCAUUUUACAAUAACAUGAAUUAACCAUGCAAUUAAUGAAUUAAUGAAGCAGAUAAUGAGAUUGGUUUAGUUAAUUACCAAAUCCGGCGACGCCGAGGGCAGAAGAGGCAGAACUCCUAGCAUGAAUGACGAUGAGCUUGAAAGGGUGGUUGGUGCCGUGAGCAAAGAAAUGGUCCAACGUCCACUCCAAUGCAUAAAAGCUAUGCUCACUGUCGUCCACUGCAACUAGCAUCAGCGGCUUCCCCUUGUUCUCACUACCUUCCGCCAUUAUCUUAAUUAAUCGCUAAUUAAUCCAAGUUAAUCACUAAUUAUCAACAAAAACAGCAAGAAGAUCCAAAUUAAUUAGUUCAGUGUGGGAUUAAUUUAGUUGGACAGUGUGCUUGUGGGUGGUAACGGCUGUAUAGGAUAGGAUAGUAGCUGGCUGUUGCUGAAUAUGGCGAUGCUAUGUGUAUACAUAUAUAUGCCUAAAUUGUUGGUAACUGUAUCGAGGUCGUUACGCCCCUCGACUCGGUUUCUUAACCGUCUGUGAAUCAAUGGCCUUGAGAUGGCGGGAGUUUCUGUGAGGUCCAAUUCAUGGCUCAUAUCAAAGCGGAGUGCUGGGCCAAGUAUGAUCCCUCUUUAGGAGCCUCCAAAAGCUAAGACAUCUCAUAUUCUGUUUCAAAUAGGUCGAAUCCAACUGAAUCAAACAAAAUAAAUUAGUUACAAUUUGGUCUGAUUUUUACACUAUUGAGUGUACAAAUUGGAUUAACACACUCAGAGUAGUUUAAUUUGACCGAUUUGAAAAUAACACGAAUUGGAUUACGUCUAAUUUGACUAGAGUUAAAUGUAGUGAAAUUAUGAAUCCCGCUAAAAGGUUGAGAUUAUGGCAAGAGUCUACAGGAGCCCUUCAUUACCAGACGAAAGGAUGGUGGGAGCCAAAUUGGGUCUAGAAACGUUUAAAAACUUUAAUUCAAAUUAGAAUCCUGAGCUAAGCAUCGGUCUCAACCCUCACAUGCUUUAAGUUAAAGCAAGGCUUUUCCCAAAAUAAGUGUACCGCACGGAUGACAGGGUAGGGAACCGAACAGAAAAGUGGGGUUUUUAUUUAUUUAUUUAUACUUUUUUAUAAUAUAAAAAAAUUUAAAGUUGGGGUCCACUUGGAGAUCCACCAGCAUUUAUCAAUGUCGACCCAAUUACCAUAACAACAAACAAACCUUAUUUAAAAAAAACCUUGAAGCAAAAUAAAAUAAAAUAUUGACCUUAAGUAAAAUUAAAAUAAGAUUAUUAAAUGAUUUUAUGAUAAAGUAUAUUUAUGCAACCAAAAGUAUGUUUCAUGAUGCAUCCGUCCAUUUAUGUGGCCUCUUUCUCAAGUUUCGAUUAUGUUAUGUUAUUUUAGAUUUACAUUGCGUACAGAUUAAUCUUAUAUCGAUGUGAAUUAUUAAUUCUAUCUUAUUAAUAUGACUUAUAUAUAAAAAUUUACUCGAAAUAUCCAUAAUUAUUUAGUAGACAAUUAUCAAUACUUUUCCUCACCAAAAUUUACGUUGAAUUCGUAUAUUGUUUGUGUCUCUGAAAUAAUUGUCACCUUUGGAAAAUAGCAAAGGAAAUAUAUAAAAGCACAAAGUUAGAAAAGCGAGGUCUUUUAGGAAUUUACAAAAUUAAAGUCCUCCUAGAAAGGUACAGCAGCGCAUAAAUAAUCUUGCUGUCAUCAUUCUAUCACACUGUGUACGUUCCAUCACCAAAUGGCUGAAUCAAGUUUGGGAGGGUAUUAUUGACAAUAACAAAAAGCUUGAGGCAAGGGUAUAUCCAUGUAUAUAUAUGCUUAUUUGAACUUGAGACCGUAAAGUUUGACCUUUCAGCAUUAAAAAAAAGUUUGAAAUCUCCCUUCAAUUUAAUAUUAUAGCUUGAGGCAAAGGCAAUCGCCUUCAUUCAUCCUAAGAGCAUUUCCAGCAGUUAAGGCUGGACUCAGACUGGGGAGGGAGGGUUGGGCAACAAUGCAAAACACCUGAAAAAAUGCAUUAGACUUUCGAACAUCAUCAGCAUUUCACGUGUUCGAAUGACUAAUGCAUUUGUUGUAUAUAUAGUAUAAAUACAUAAAAUACUGAUUUUUGUUAUAAAAAAUAUAUGAUAAUCUACAAAAUAAUGAGUAAUGCAAACAUGUGAUGAAAAGUUAUAGAGAGCAUUGAUAAUGAUGAAUAAGUUUUUUUUGUUUGUUUUUUGUUUUGGUUGAAGAAUGAUGAAGAACGUAUAUAUGUAAUGUAAAAUUGUAAAUGAAAUAAACAACAAGGUACAAACUUUCAUGUCUCAUUUCGACUGGAAGUGCAAAUCUCUAGUUAAACCGACCCGCACUACGACUUAUUCUGUUGCCUGCUGCUUAGCCAGCAAUUGUAUAAAACUGCUGCACGAGCUCAAUAUAUAUUAGUAAUUUUAUUUAGCGCAUCUGUGUAUAAUUUUCAGAGACAGAAGUCGCAGUCCCACCGUCCCAAUCCAAGUCUGAAGUUGAGAAAAGAUUCCAGCAAUAUAUAAACACACUUACACCUAAAUAAAUUGCAUGUAUAUAUACUAAUUAAAUUAUUUUAAUCUAAUUUAAAUUACGAUGAGAGGGAUUUAAAAUUGGGUUUAUACUAAUCAAAUUAUUUUAAUUUCAAUUCUUAAUAUUUUCAUUAACUAAAGGUAUUUUUUGGUAUUUUGAAUGUUUUACCAUUCUCUCCAUUUUGCUUUAUAUAUAGAUAAAAGGUUAGCACGUUCCCUUUUAUAUUAUCCGAUUCGUUUUUAUAUUUUAUUAGGUCCCGUUUGGUUCACGGAAUGGAUUUGAGGAGAAAUCACUUCCGAUGUCAUUUCCCAAGGAAUGAGAAUGAAAGAUUCCUUUCCCAAGUUUGGUAAUGUCGAGAAAGUAACCGGGAGAUUUCACUUUGUUUCCUUUCCUAUGUUUGUUUUGAGUAGGAAUGAAAAAUAAAGUUUGUAUAAUUUUUCAAUUAUACCCAUAUUAAAUCAAAUAAAAAAUAAUAAUGCAUUUAAUGAUACGUUGUAAUUCUAAAUUGUUCAUAGGGACAAAAUAGUCAUGAAAAUUGUUCAUUGAAUGUUGGCUCAUUUUCCCAAACUUUCCCAUGAGGAGGGAAAACAAAACCCGAGUUAAGAGGAGGGCUUCACUUUUCCCCCUACUUUCCUAUGUGCCAGACAACAAUUUCCCAUGCAUGGACUUACUAAACAUGGGAAAGCAAUUGAAUUCUCAUUCCUAAGCCUCAUUUCCCAUGAACCAAACGGAACCUUAAGGGUUUGCUUUGACAUUUGAUUUGAGGUGGUUGAGUGUAUUUCAAUAAUUUCUUAACUUGAAACAUACUAUUCUCCUAUUAGGAUUGUUGUAUUAGUUUUUGUUAGUUGAAUGAUUUCUAUUUUUAAUUUUCAGACAGGAUCUUAUGAAUCUCAGUUUGCUUAAUUAACAAAUAGGCAAACGCGCCCUAAACAAUAAAAUAAUUACAUCAAAAAUUGAGGGAGGACGAGCCACCUCAAUAAUGCCCUCAAACACCAUUUUCAUUCCAUAAUAGUAAUUUUGCAAAACCCAAAAAAAAAAAAGAGGAAAAAUAAUGAGAAAAUGGAGAAAUGAAUUGUGUUUUUUUUUUCUUGUUUGAGAAAUCAUAUUUUUUCCUCUUAAUAUUGCACUUUUAUCCCCAUAAAUAAAUAAAUAAAGAAGGCGAAAAAUACCCAUCAACCCUCAAUGAAAAUUUCCUUUUUAUUUUUGUUGGGUCAUGAGACAAAAAAGAAAAAGAAAAAGAUUUUCAUUAUUGUUGGUGGUGGUGGGAGGGAGUGGACGUUUUGAGUUUCCGCGGCAAGCAAAUAAAAGAAAAUCCAAGGGUAUUUGCGUCAGCUCACAUUAAAUUUAUUCCAGUCUGUCGUCCGAAGGCUCUGAACCGUCCAUCCGAGCUCCAAACCGAAAAUUAGCAACAACUUUGAGGGCGUAUCAGUCUUUUUAGAUUAAUUCAAUUUUGCGAAGAGCCGUUUUAAUAAUUUUGAAAAUUAUAAUCUACCAAAUGACAAUUAUAACGACAUCGCUCUCUGACUCUCUCUCCUGUUGUCGCAGAAAGAUUAUUUUAUAAUCUAAGCAAGGCGUACACUCUCUCUCUCUUCUGUGGAGCCCCUUACCAUCAUCAAUUCAACCCCCAUUUCUCUGAAACCAAAUUCCAACACACCCUUCCCUCUUUACAAUCGAAUUAGGGUUUUGCUUUUCCCAAUUCGUUUGCAGAUCUGAUCCCAAUAUCGCAUUCUUUUGAGAUUAUUGAGAAGCCACAGAUCCUGGUCGCGUAAUUGUUUUGCUUCCUUCUGUUCCGGUACGUUUAAUCGUAAAUGUGAGAAACUGAUUGAUUUUCUACGUUGCUCGGCGUGGGAUUCUGUGAUCAGAUUCGGUUGAAUUGCAGAUUCUGAGGAUUUGAAUCGCAUUUCCGUUGGAAUUUUACUUUCAUGUCCUGCUUUGAAUUCAACUUCUCCCCACCUCGUGAGUAUAUAUGAUCCCAUGCAAAUCAAUAUGCUAUAAUUUCGUUGAAAUUCUUAUGCCUUUUGGAUUGCACGUAUAUAUAAAUGCAUUUGUGUGGUUUGUUUCUGUGAAGCGGUUGUUGGAAUAUAGAUCUUGAAAAUUGGCUCCUCAAAGACGGUCGCAGCGCCACAUGGGUGGCCAGAUGCAGCAGAGCAAUGCCGCCGCGGCUACUGCUCUGUACGACCACGCCACCGGCGCCCCUGCCGGGCCUCUGCACAAUGCGGGGCCUGCCGGCGAUGCUGGUGAUGCAGUCAUGGCCCGGUGGCUCCAGUCCGCUGGGUUACAGCAUCUGGCCUCACCAUUGGCUUCCACGGGAAUCGACAACCGUAUGCUCCCCAAUCUCCUCAUGCAGGUAUUAUAUUCAUAGCCAUUGCCUAUGUGAUUGUGCUAUCGUAUCCGCUUUUUUCAUGUAGAAUUACAUGAUGACUAAGCGUUUGAUAUUGUUAUAGGGUUAUGGCGCUCAAUCUGCUGAAGAGAAACAGAGGCUUUUGAAAUUAAUGCGAAACCUCAAUUUUAAUGGGGAGUCUGGUUCUGAGCCAUAUACACCUACUGCGCAAACUUCAGGUGGGGCUGCAUCGGAUGGUUUGUAUUCUCCGGAGUUCAGGGGGGAUUUUGGAGCUGGGCUGUUGGACCUUCAUGCUAUGGAUGAUACAGAGCUUCUGUCUGAGGUAUGGUAAUUUAAAAAAUUCAUAAUGUUCUGUGUUUAACUUAGCUGGGAAGUUCUGCAUGGAUUGGUCUUAAAACAUUAAUAACGAUGAAGUACGAGAUUGGCUACUGGGUGCUGUCAAAGGACGAGAUUGGUUACUAAUCCCUGACAUUGAGUCGUUUUGUUUGAAGUUGCUUUACAACAUUCCAUGUUGUUAUUCGGUGAUAUGUGCUGGAAUUCAGACCCGUUAUGCACUUGGGAAUAUCAAGUUGUGACAUCAGUAUUUUAUAAUGAUAAAUUGGUCUGAAUUUAUGGCCAAAUUUUUAUGAGCUAAAUAUUUUAAUUAAAUUGUGAAUUCAGGAUGGGUUGAUGGGGAUUCCCUGGAAAUUCACUCACUUGUUAGGGUAAUUUCUCUUGGAUUGCUGUUUUGUUUCUAUAUGAAUUUUACUUGUGAAUAGGUUCUUAAAUUUAAAUUUGCUUUGUAAAACUUGUAACAUCUCUGAUUCUAGCCAGUACAUUAUCAUUUUUGUUCCCUUUACCUAUUUGUUAUUGGUCCUUGUUUUCUUGUGAUAUAUAUUUAUAGCUGCAUAGUGAAAAGAGUUAAAUCCUCACCUACUUUUGAAAUGUUGUGCUUACUGUCUUGGGGUCUGUUCUUUACCUUUUUCUUGAGUUAUGAUCAAUGAGACUGCUUUGUGUCUGUCUAGGAUAUUUUUUUUACUUCCUACUCUGUUGCUUUAUUUGUUAAUAAAAUGCAAUAUUGUUUUCAUGUUCAGCAUGUCAUCCCUGAACCCUUUGAGCCAUCGCCAUUUAUGCCUGGUGGUAAAGCAUUUGAUGAUGAAUUCAAUUUGACAAGUGGUAGGCAGCAAAGAGUACUACCUGAUCCAGAUGCAUCAGUUCCAGUAGCCCAGAGUGAAAAGGAGAGCACAAAGGAAACUAACGUGGCUAAGAUUAAAGUUGUGGUAUGUGUUUCAUUUCGCAGCUGAGUGCUGCGCUUGUGUAUUGUUGGAUAUGUGUGGUUAUAUCAUGUUGUUGAUGACUUGGUACCUAAUUUCUAUAUGAAUGCUUUGGGUCUUAACAUAUAUCAAUCUUGGCAUCUGAUCCUGUCGUGUGAUUUGAAGGCAUAUGAUGGAAUAUCAUGUUAUUAUUUUGUGUGAAACUUUUAAAUUUUUUGUGUUCUAAUGGGUAUAUUAGGUACGCAAAAGACCUUUAAAUAAGAAGGAGCUUUCGCGGAAGGAGGAGGAUAUUGUUUCUGUGUAUGACAAUGCUUAUUUGACAGUCCACGAACCCAAACUAAAGGUUUGUUCUCAGCAACCAGAUGCCAUUUAAAAUUUCUGGCCGAAUUUUGUUUUGGAAAUUGAAGUCUCUUUCUUGCACAUAUUCUGUUUUGGGUUUUACAUUUUUGGUCAUGUAAUAGGUGGACUUGACUGCAUACGUGGAGAAGCAUGAAUUUUGUUUUGAUGCUGUUCUGAAUGAGUAUGUUUCAAAUGAUGAGGUAAUAUACAUCUUUUUGUACAUGGAAGUGUAUAAAUCUUGACUUAAUAUUUCCUUUGAUGUUUAGGAUACUGUUGCACAUUAGGCAUGGUCCUUAUGUGCAUGUUCCUCUAUGAUUGUUUCUCGGUUGGAUAAAAAAGGUUUAACCAGUUGAAAUGCUUUAUGAAACAGGUAUACCGGGCUACUGUAGAACCAAUUAUUCCCAUUAUUUUUGAGCGAACAAAGGCUACUUGUUUUGCUUAUGGUCAAACAGGUAGGUGGUGUAUAUAAUCUGUCCAUGUCAUACACUACUUGAUUAUCAGUUUAUCCUUGUUGAAACUUUAUUCUUUUCAUCUGUGUAUAUGACAGUCAUCAAAAUGCAGUAUCAUUGGUUGAGUAAUGACCUUGUGAUAUAUAUUUAAAUAAUUAUAAUUCCAAAUCAUAUUCUAUUCUUCCCUAGUUAGAGUUUGACUGCUAAGUUUGUCCUUCCUUUAAGCUUUAUAUACUCUUAGAAAGUUACCAAUAGACAAAAUUCAGGUUUUCACGCUUGUCAGAUCUAUUCACUUUGUUUGGGGGGCUCUGAGACAUUAUGUUUGUGGCUUAUUUCUGGUGCCACUUAGUGGUUUUACUUGUUGCUAUGUGAUCCUUUUCAAUCAUGCUAAAUGUCUUCUGUACUGAAAAUACUAACAAGAUUUGAAUUACAGGUAGUGGCAAGACAUUCACAAUGCAACCGUUACCUAUCAGGGCUGCAGAAGACCUGGUCAGAUUGUUACAUCAGCCAGUUUACCGUAACCAGAGAUUCAAAUUGUGGCUUAGCUACUUUGAGAUUUAUGGAGGAAAGCUCUUUGAUCUUCUCAGUGAGAGGAAGUAUAUCUCUUUGUUUGACUGGUUCUUUUAUUUUAAUGUUAUGAUGGUAUUUGAAAAUUAGUUUCUUUUUUGCCAAAAAUACUGUUCUAUUUGUUUGUUUCUAAUUUUUAACUUUAAAUUGCUAUGACUUUGGAAUGGGAUUUGGACUCAUGACAUCCUCCUUUAAGGAAAGGUAUAGGCUUGUAGAUACCGUCAGGGGAUAGCUAUGUUCUAGAAUGAUCUUUUGGAUUGCAGAGGGUAGCUAUGUGUGUUAGUGCAUAAUAAUGGUCUAGCUGAGUAUAGGACAGGGCAUAAGACACAUAGUUUUGUGUGUGAAGGAUUCAUUUGUGUAACUACCAAUGAUGUUGCAAUGGUUUGAAGCAUGUCAUGUUUCAGUUACUAAGGCAUCAGUUGUCCAUUUUCACCAAGUAUUAAAUUUCAUGUGAAUUUUUUGAGCAAUGUUUGUGGAAAGCAUCUAAUUAUUACUAGUUGGGUUAUGUGGUAUAAUUUUAGAAUGGGUGUUCUGAUUACGUGCAAGCAUUUGUUUCUAUUUGCAUUAUGCAUCAUCUUAUUUUAUAUGACAGCACAUUUAUUUGCAUUUUUUUAGAGAUGCAUAAUAAUGCACGUAUGCAUGUGAAUUUUGGUUCACUUGGUGGUCUACUGCUGUAAUUAUGUUAUGACAUAAAUGACUUCAUUUCUUUGCAAUAGGAAACUUUGUAUGAGAGAAGAUGGACGGCAACAAGUUUGCAUUGUUGGACUGCAAGAAUUUGAAGUUUCAGAUGUACAAAUUGUUAAAGAAUAUAUUGAGAGAGGGAAUGCUGCUAGAAGUACGGGGUCAACUGGUGCUAAUGAAGAGUCUUCUAGGUCUCAUGCUAUUUUACAACUCGUUGUGAAAAAGCACAGUGAGGUAAAAGAUUCUAGGCGGAACAAUGAUGGAAAUGAAUCUAGAAGUGGGAAGGUUGUGGGGAAGAUCUCUUUCAUCGAUCUUGCUGGUAGUGAAAGGGGUGCUGACACCACUGAUAAUGACCGACAAACAAGGUAAUCUUCCAACUUUUUUAGGCUAUCGGCUUUUCUUUCUUCUUGUUUCUCUAUGAUUUUGGCGUUUGGUGAUAUAAUUGUACUGGCAAAUCCGUCAUUGGGCUAAGUGUGACGCCUGGGCAGGUUUUAAGAAGGCCCAUGGUGUCAAUAGUACUAAAGAAAAUCAGAAAUUGUUCUUGGCUGUACCUAUUCCAUCAGGAUAAUGCUUCUUAGGCUACCGUUGUUCUUUCUCACAUUCCUUGUAAUGUCAGUACUGUUAUGAUGAUUUACUGACUACUGAAUUUGUUGAACCAAAAUGGGUCCUUGCAGAAUUGAGGGAGCAGAAAUUAACAAGAGCCUUUUGGCUCUGAAGGAGUGUAUUCGUGCUCUGGACAAUGACCAGAUCCAUAUACCUUUCCGUGGAAGCAAACUCACAGAAGUGCUUCGUGAUUCCUUUGUUGGAAAUUCAAGGACUGUUAUGAUAUCUUGCAUUUCUCCAAAUGCAGGGUCAUGCGAGCAUACACUUAACACUUUGAGAUAUGCGGAUCGGUAUGCUUUAUGCUAUUGUGAACUUAAACAACUCAAAUUACUGUACUAGUGCUUAAUGAUUAAACUUAUAUUUCAGACUAAAAGAUUAACUUUAAACGAACAGGGUUAAAAGUCUUUCAAAAGGUGGCAAUGCUAGAAAGGAUCAAGCAGUAAAUUCAUUACCACCAACUAUUAAGGAUGUUUCAUCGACAUCAUCUACACUGGUUUCUGCUGAGAUAGAGGAUGCCCGUGAGCAACGUCAAGAAGUUAAAGUAACUGAUACAGGCAGAAGAGCUGUGGAGAAAGAAAGUUUCACAUAUAUUCCAACUGUUGAGUUUGACAAGCAGCCUGCAAAGUUGUCAUCAAGUAACCCCAUUAGUAUUCGGGAAGAAAGCGGGGUGGCUUCUGGUGUAAUGGAUAGGGAGAGAUUUGAAAUUAAUAAUUCUUAUGGUGAUUCUUACAGCCAGAAGAUGCUCUAUUAUUCCCAAAACUCGGGUGAUACAGAAGAGAAAGUACAAAAAGUGUCACCACCUCGUAGGAAAGUAACCAAGGAUGAAAAAUCAGAAAAGUUGGGUAAUUGGCUGAAAAAAGGUGGAUCUGAUCUCUCCACCACAAGUUCUAAGCAGCAAAAUACAGGAAAUUAUAACACAAGCAAUGUUGGAUCCAAACAAUCUGAGCCUCAACUUCCUGAUGGGCAUAUCAAUGCCAUUCUCGAGGUUGGUACUCUGGCUUUGGUCAUUAUAUUUGUAGUUGUUUUACAAGUAAUCCUCCACCCCCUGCUAAUUUUUUUUGAGCUCUUUGGACUGUAUUAGGAAGAAGAGGCCCUAAUUGCUGCCCAUAGAAAAGAAAUUGAGGAUACGAUGGAAAUUGUUCGCGAAGUAAGUGAAACUUUCUUCUUUUGUUUUUUUGCAAGAUAUUUUGAUUGCCUCUCCAACAGAUCUUGUUAACUGAGUGAGAAACUGGCAUUUUUAACUUGUCUGUCAUGUCAACCUGCUAUAUAGCGUGCAUCCUGUAUUUUUUGGUAAAUAGGUGCUUAUCCCGUGUUGUUUUGGUUACCAGGAAAUGAAACUGUUGGCAGAAGUGGACCAACCAGGGAGCCUGAUAGACAACUAUGUGACCCAGUUGAGCUUUGUGCUUUCUCGCAAGGCAGCUGGUCUGGUUAGCCUGCAAGCCCGUCUUGCAAGAUUCCAGCAUAGACUAAAAGAGCAGGAAAUACUAAGUCGCAAAAGAGGACCUCGUUAAGGCAGGCACUUUGUUUCGUUGCGCUGAUGGCGGCACUGUUACUUGUAUUAAUCUGAACUCUCUUUUAUAUAUUUUUCAUUUUCAUCUCAUCUGGUGGAAAACAUUGAUACUAAACAGCAUCCUUUUUAAGUUCUGCUUAUUCUGUCUUGUUAUGGUCCCGGCAGUUACAAAGCAGGAUCUGCGGGAGGGGGAUUUGAGGCAUUGCAGACUCCGGGCAGUUCACAUCCAGACUUCUGGCUAAGGGCGGCAAUGAGGAUUCAAUUCACGUCUUUUGCCGGUGAUUGUGUUCUCAUUUGUAAUUCUUUAGAUAAGUUGAUGUGUUCUUGCCGAGUCUUUUGUGGGUUGUGGACUUUGGCUGUUGUGUAAGUGGUGACUGGAAAUUUGAUUUGACAAUGUAUUUUCUAGUAAAGAAAAAAAAAGAAAUAGAAUGAUUAUUACUCUGUCAUCCUGACUAUUAUCUUAUUUCAUUCUUUUCUUUUGCACUGUCCCUUGAAUACCAUACAUUUCCAAUAUUGAUCACAGAAUUAUUCCGAGGAUUUGGCUACUUUCCAGGUUAAACAAAACCAAAUAAACAUGAACCAAAAUAUUAUUUUAUCGGAUAGAGUAAAUGCUGGCAAGUAACUAUCACUUAAUUCAGGGGCACAAAUGAAUCUUCAACAAACUCUGGCCAAAACAAAUGAAAACUUUCUUUUAUAGAACAGAAUUCUCCAGAAAUAUUGUGUUACAAUUGUUGGAUCAACUCAAUUACUAAUAUAUAGGCAAAUGGCCAACAAGAUACAAGGGCUAAAAAAAAACUAGCAACAAGGACUCAGUCAGCGCAUAACCUGAAAGCUUAUGGAACUUUUUGAACAUAUAUGUGACAAAUCAAAGGUUCGCACUUGUAUAGUAUAUACAAGUUACUAUUUCUGCCUUGUGCUCUGCUAACCUUUCCUCACAGGACUCACCUCACCAAGACAAAUCUUAAAUUAUUUCAAAAAUUUCGAAGCUGGCAUGCAACUCACACCCGCGAGCACACCUAAUUCAUCGUCUGUUACUCUCUAAUUCCUAAUUCUUGGUUGGUACUACCGCAUGCCAAAGCUAGCUUGCUCAAUCAGUCCGCUCUCAAUUUUAGGAUCUCCUUGGCUGUUCUCAAUCGAAAAUAUGGCAUGUGUUCCUGCAAGGACAACAAACAGAGUUGAAUCAUACUAAUUAACAGUUGAGUUAACCGAGAGCAGGAUAUACAUGAGCAUUUCAUUCUAUAGCAUACUACUUCCCAAUAAAUUAUCAGGAGAAGUAAAAGCAAGAAACAGAAGGAACCAGUGCCAAGUAUUUUCCCCCUAGAAUUACGUUGAACAUAUAAUUUUCCAUUAUUAAUGGUUUGAAUGCAGGUCCGAGAAAAUAAAAAUGAAAACAACCAAAAGAUACUUUAACUUGGGAGACAAAAUAUACACUUCCGUGUGGCAAAGCAACAGAAGCAUCUCUAAGCGCCUUACCUGCUUGAAACAGAGAUCCAAGCCCCUGCUAUAAAAGUCAGCAUAUUUGAUCAUGAACACACCACAGUCAAACCUGUUAAGAAAAAUUAAUUCAAAAAUACAUUUCAAUUAGCAGAAGUCUCUUUGCUUACUGUAAAGAGUUUGGGAAAAAGAUAAAAGAAAACCUAUAACAUUAGACAUGUAAUGCCUACCCAUUCUCCUGCUCAGGAAGGUCUUCAACAUAUUCUAAUUUCCAAGAACUCAAAUUGAUGUCUUUUCCACACUUAUCCUUCACUUCAUCAACAUAGUAUUUCGCCUGUCAAACAUAAACAGUCAAAGUUAGCCGCAACUUAAUCGGUUUAAUGAAUUUAUUCGUUUUCCUACCAUUUUGAAAAACAUCUGUACCAAGGUACUGCCAUUAGUAUCCAAAAAGAAAAAGAAAAACGAAGAUGAAGAGUUAAUUGAUGGCUGAUGAUCGAUGAAAUAUUUGUCCACACAGCAAACUUUUUACGUGCCUAUGUGCAUAUUUCAUACCACAUCAAGUAUGGAGGAAGGGCAAUUGUUAUCAAGUUCUGCAGGCAAGACUGACAAGAUGAUUUUCUUCAUUUUUAAAAUUCAUGAACCCAGUCAACUCCAGACCAAACAAACAAAGAACCCAAUCAAUUCAAACAUAUGUUGUAGUUCGAGUAACAGGAAAUUACACGAACCGCUAAUGGCAAGAUUUUAUUUUUUCAAAGCAUCACUACUCGUCACCCCCUUCCCACAAGAAAAAGUGAAAGGGAAUCAAGGACCGACAUUUUGUGUAACAGACUUUCUGACUUUAUUGCAUGCAUCAUCAAUAAAUUAUAUCAACCGCCGAACAGAAUAUGACUACAAAGCAUACCAAUCUGUUCAUCACUUGGGUAUCCCUUCCUUUGAGUGAAUCAAGAUACUGUAACUUCUCCUCUGCCUUGUUAAUAACUGCCAAACACCAAUGUAUUUCUUUGUGGAUGGGAACAAAUAUCUGAGAAGAAAACAACUUAUGAAAUAAAUGUAAUUUCACUUAAACUGUGUAUAUGUGCAAUGAAGAAGGUUUGAAUGAAGUUACUUUGUCACAAUCGAUGAGGCUGUAUCCCAGCUUCUUUUGGGUAGUCCACCUUCUGACGGAUUUAUAAUCAUAGUUACUUUUCCCACCUAUCAACUGCACAUACAAUUUCAGUAAAAUAAGAGUAGCUAACAUAGAAAUCAAUAUCCUAAAUCCAACAGCAAAGAUGGUUACCCAAUCUAGGCAAAUAAUUACUAGGAGUGUGAAUUGCACGGGCUGAGCUGACAGACCUUGCCUGAGGUUAGCCCAAUAAGCACAUGGCUGAGCUCUCAGCCCAGCCCAAUCUUCGGGCCUAAUGAAAUGUAAUAUAUGUAUACAAAUGAGAAAGAAACAAAUGGGUACAAUUUGGGUUGGCGUUAUAUCAUGCUGAUUCAUCCUGAACUUCAAAUCAGGUCUAAAAACUCAGCCAAAACUCAAAUGAGACUCAUCCUAAUAAAAAUUCAGGCCAAAUUGGUCAAAGCUUUUGACCAAUCCAACUCAACAAACAGUCCUAAUAAUUAAAUGAUGAAAUAGAAGUAUGAGACUAUUUGACAAUGAACAUGCAUUAGAGCUUUAUAGUUUUUGCAGUGACAAGAACUCAUGUAUUCAUACCAGUGCACUUAUCUAGACAACAAAUUAAUGAAAUCAAUAAAUAUUAUUCUGACAGUAAAAAAAAAAAAAAGGAAAACUAAACAGAUUAUGCAUAUACAACCACUGCCCGGAACAAAGUGUAAAAGAAUGAACAAGAAAGAAAGCAAAUUACAAACCUUUUUGUAGAAAAAUGUGUUGAAGAAAUGACAUUUUAAGAAAUUCUGUGGCUCUCUCUUUUCCCUCUCUUUCAGCAACUCAAAGUAGACAUUUAUGACCUGGACGGAAAAGAAUACAUAUGUAUCAAUCACAUUACCAGCUAGGCAAGCCUGGACAACCCCACAUGAACCAUACAAAACAAAAUGCAAUGAAUUGUUUUUUUUGUUAUUGCAAUUUAACAAAAAAGUACAAAUGUAACCUAGAAAAUACCUCGUCAUUCAACCAUGCACGUGGUCUAAGGCACUGCAGCAUUUCACCUGUGAUCUCUAUGUUUGAGUUCUCAUGAGUUACCAAGACUCUCCUCCUGUAUGAACCCCAACACUGUUAUACUUUCAAGUUUCAACUAAACCAAUUCAAAGAUGAAACAGAAUAUAUAUCAAACCAUACCGAUUGGCAGAGGAAAAUGCUUGCUCAACCUCAGCCAUUUCCUCCUUUCGAAGAGCAACAAAGGGUUCAUCGGGUACAACCUAAAAAGAAAAGGAUUUAACUAUUAAGAGAAGACUGUUGAUAAAUUCAUCAUCAAUGUUUACUUACCACAAGCUGUAAACUUUAGUAUACUAACACUGCAAAUGAUACUUCAAAACAGGUAGCAAGUUAACGAAAAGAAAUUCACCUUCACUGGUUUCUUUUGUGGACGCAGCGAUUCAAGCAGAGACAGUUUGCUCACAUUGAACUCAAUUUGGGAAUGCAAAUGUUCAAGUUUCGGAGUCCGCCUCUCUACACUCUCAAGCAACUGCUUGUACACUACCACACUCGGCACCUCCACCUCUCGAUUUAGCGACAAUGAGUCCAACAUCUUUCCUGCACUGUCCACUUUGAAAGGGCCAUUCGUCAGUGUGGUCAAGUCUGAAACCACCGAAGAAGCCGAUGGCUGAGUACCCUGAGGUCCACAGUCCACCAUCUUCGUAUCCAAUUCCUGCACAUAAUCCACCACAGAAGGCCCUUCUCGGUCAUCUUCCUCUAUAGCCAGAACUUCUUCUAUGCUCGAAUCCUCAGAAACUCGGUCAGUUUCAACCUCUUCAUCCAAUUCAAUCACCUCCUUGCCCUUGUUCAAAUAACGGAAUGUAUCUAACGCCCUGCUCUUCGCCUUUUCCAAAUGGAAAGACAAUAAACUGCCCAUUAUGACACCCGACCGCUCCUUCUCAUGAACCCCUCUGGUUUUUGGGCUCGAAUCUUCUCUGUUCGAGAAGAACCCGAAUUUGCCUGUUCUACAAGGGGCGUGAACUCUCGUCAGUGGCGGCUUUAUAUCUGGGUAACGAGAGACCCUCGAAGCGACGCUAUUGGAAGAUAAUAUGGGCCGGUCCGGGAUUUGCUUCACAUAAGAGAAUCUGGGUCGCUUUGAAAUUUGAAAAUUCUGCGAAUACGGAGAUGGGUGUGCAGAAUUCAAGCUCAAACACUCGUCCCCUCGCUUACGAUUGCUGGUUAGUGCUCCCAUUGAUAAACCCAGAGCACAAAAAGACCUAGAAAUUCACAUCUCAUCCAAAGAAUGCCAUCUUAGAGCAAACACAACCAAUUUGAAAUUUUUGGUGGGCGGAUUGAAUGAGUAAUCAGCUGGCGAAACUUAAACCCUAAAUGCGAGGCAAUUGAAACCAAAAGUUAGGGUUUUGCUUAAGGUCCAAAGAAAAAGUAAAAAUUAGAGGAAGAGAAUGGUUCGAUUUCAAAAUCACAGAGAUUUGAAGGGAGGGAACAAAACCCUAUAAACGCAUAGGAAGAGGGGGUCGAUUUCAAAUAAGCACGCACCAGAAAAUCUGUCUAGACAAAUAUCGAGUGUUCCCGCUACAAAAUAAAAAAAGGGGGCUGAGAUGAGAGAGAGAGCGGAGGAGGAGCUUGUUUUCCUUAAAUAUUUGUUAUUAACGUUGAAGAGGAUUUUCAAUUUUGAUGCACCAGAGCUUGAGUUGGGAUCUGUAACCCGAUUUGCUGUAGGAGGCGUUUCGGCUUUCCCGGUUCGGUGUAGGAAAUUAUAUGGUAUUUUUCUAUUAUUAUUUUUUAAAUAGUUGCACGUAACACUUGUAUGAAUCGGGAAAUUAACCCAACACAAAAAAUAGAAUCAGGAAAUUAAGAAUAUGAGAAAUAAUAAAGGGGAAUUCAAUAUUAUACCCAAUAUAAAAGUUCAAAUUAAAAAAAAAUUAUAUAUGAAAUGGACUUUAGAAACACACUCAAAGCCCAUUUACAACAUAACAAAAAGAUUUUUAACUUCUUUUAAAUUACAAUACUAUCAUUGAUUUUUUAGAACAAACUCAACUCAAAAACCUCAUAAAAAAGCCCAAAACACUCAAUAGGGCAUCAAAGUAAUUUAAUAAUCAAAAUUAAACCAAAUAGGGCCAGUUAUCAUUUUUUGAGUUUGUUUAUAUAAAUUAAAUAUUGUAUGAUUUUAUAAUUUAGUGCUAAAAAUAGGUAUAUGACUAAAUAUUUCAAGAAGGAAUAUCAUAUGAAAUUAUUUCAAAUUAAUAUGUUUCCUAAGUCUUGUAGGGUUUAAUUAGGUAUAUGUUAAAUGUAUGAAAAUCAAGAACUGAAAUAUUUCAAUACCCAUGUGUUAGUAAAUUCAAGAUAAGUGAGACACGCCAAUUCUAAAUAAGUCAGUAUGCCAACAAGGAAAAAAUUGUCCAAGUAGGCAUGGUUACUUCUCAAUGCACACACUUCUUGGUUAAGGAGAAAAAAUUGUGCAUGACUAUCACACUAAAAUAUUAUAUUACUAAUUUAUAUGUUAUAAUAUAAAUGUAUCAUCGAUUUAUAUUUUAUAAUAAUAAUAAUAAAUAAAAUAUACAUUAUAGCAUAAGUAAAUUUAUAACACCACGUAAAUGUUGACCUGUCACAUUAAAAAAUUCCUCGUUAAGGAGCUAUUGCUACCCUUCUGACCGUCCCGCCUCUAUUACUAACUCCCAAUCUAUAUACUACAUUCGGAGACAAUAUUCCAAAGUAUAAAAUAAAAGUUAUGCAUGUCAUGGUAAAUCUUGGACAUGCCACGCUCUAAGGUCCCAAUCUGGGCACUGCUAUUCUAUGACUUUAAAUGUGUUUUUUUUUUUAAUACAAGCGAUAUUUUAUUUUAAUAUGAUUUAAACUAUUGGAAUGGAGAUUCAAACAGCAGAAUAAUAUGAUUUAAACUACUAGAAUGAAGAUUCAAACUACAGAAUGGAAAACACAUUCACUCUAACCAACUUAUGACUUUAAUCACUGAACAAAGAAAGAGCUUGAGUUUGUUGGAUUGGGAGUAAUUUAAAUAAGAAUAAUGAUUGGUCAAUUUUUAUUUCAAGUAUUUAUGAAUUUGGGGAAAAGUAGGUGGGUAAGAAAUUGGAGACGAUUAGGUAAAUCUUUGAGUUUUUAAGCAAGAAGCAUACAAUUAGGGGAGGAAGCUUAACCAGAUCCAGUACAUCCAUUGUUUACUCAAAGACUUGAAAAAUAAUACAAAAUUAAUGUUUCUUUCCCUAAAUACCAUGUUACUUUGCAAAUUGCAAGACCUAAAGGGCACUGGAGUAAGUAACAGUUAUUUGACGGUCGCUAAUAUGUACAUAUAACAGGUUAUGGAUACAAGGUCCUCCGUAUAUCGAAGCCAAAUUAUUCAGCUGGGUUAAAUAUCUGAAACAUAAGAAAAUAUUUGUAUCAGCAAAUUGAAUUUGCAGGGAGGAUAGUUAUUAUCACAUUAUUCCAGAAAAAUUUAAAACUUACAUUGUUCAAUUCAUACAAGCUGCACAACAGCAGCCACUCUUAAGGCCCCAUUUUGGAGAAGAUCAGCAAGCUCAUCAAAUAACAGAGCUGUUCGCCAGCCCCAGCCCUUUGGAGCUUUCGGUAAAAGCGUGCCUGUUUGCUUGAAACUUCCAAACACCAUGACUUCCCUCUUUGAUGGACAGAUUAACUACAUCAUAAACGUACAUGAACUACAAAAUCAAUAUGCCAGAUUCUGGUGUAACAAACACUGAUUACACGAGAAUCGGUGAAACUGAGAACAUUUUGUUCACUUUGGAUCUUACCUGAUACCGGGCAGUAACCUUUUCACGAGAAUCGACAUACAUCUGCACCUGUGUCGGGCACACCGUAAUGUAUCAACUAACAACUACUAGGGAUUAUAAAUGCAAAUAAACAUACUAGACAGAAAAACAAGGUGAAACAGAAAGGGUGAUCAUUGAAAUGUGAAGAUAAGAAGAAGCAUUAUUCUCCACAACUAAAAUAACCCAUCUCAUGCUCAAACAAUCAAGAGCAGGCUAACCUUUCUAAAUGAAUCAGUAAUCUCUGCCUUACGUCGGUGAAGAAAUAAUCCUGAAAUAACAAACAUAUGAUAUACGUUCAGCUUAAGGAACAUAUUUCAAAUAAAACUUAGGAAAGCAAAAUAACAUGUUUCCGAGGUAUAUCAUUGAACAGCAAAGAACAGUACCAAGUGUUCGACGUCCUUGAGGGUCUUCAUCAUUAAAAGCCUGAACGCUAACCUAUAAAUUUGAACAACAAAAUCCAAUCUGUAUGAGAGCAUGGAAAAUGGAGAUCAAAAAGCAUCAUCACAAAUCUAAAUCUUAUAUUGAAAAGAAAAUAAGUUUAUACUGAAACACCUUCCAUAAAGAACCAGCAUAAAAGACUUCUGGAGAGUGCUUCACUUGGCCAUCACUGAGCCUGUGCACAUCCUCAAAUUGCACCCUGUAGAACCAGGAUCGAGAACUUAAGUGAAAAGGUAAACUAGAGACCAAAAAAAAAACUUGACUUGUAAUUAGUAGGAUGGAGAAUUGAACAAAAUGACCAAUCAUUAGAUCCAUGACACUUGGACAAAUAAUCCAGUCCCAUGAAAAAAGGCUUAGUAUAAAUAGAUGUUCAAAGGCACUUGUAAGCAACUUGUAAAGGAGACUUCUGAGCUAGGAUAUCAUAGGACAGCAUCCUAAAAAGAAUUUAUGGAUUCUUAUUUUUCAAAAGAGAGCUCAAAAUCUGAAGCAAAGCUGUAAAGGAUUAAUGGAAAGAGCUCACGUACCCAAAUCGGAAAGGAGGGAAGUGGCUUAAAGGUGUUUUCAAAUCCAAUGAUAUGGAAGAACUGUUUGGAUUAUCCCACUCAAUCCCAAUUGCACGGUCUGACGACUCUACCAUCUGCACAGGUAUGCCACUCGUACUUGGCACUGCCAUGGAAGUUCCAGGCAUUCGGCUUUGCACAUCCAUCUCAUAGGCUCUCUCUGUUUGCUCCCCAUGAGCAUUAGCUACAUUGUUCCCUCCUUGGCUUAGCCCAACCAAAGCCGUCAAGCCAUCUCCAGACAGGUCCCCACUAUGGUCAGCUCUAGCCUCUGAAUCAUCAUUAGCAAGAGACUGCUGGCAAUUUCUGUUGCCCAUGCCAAAUGGCACACGGGAAAAGACAAACCGAGUUGGAGGCCAGGCAGUUGCUGGGACAAAUGUAGUUCCGCGUCCAAUACCAGCAAGCCCAUCAAUAGGACCCCUAACAUGCACACGUACAGGCCUAAAGAGGCCAUUUCCUUCACCUGCAGAAGACUCAGCAACAUACACGCCAGGAGAAUUAUUCUGAUUGUGCUCUUGCAUGUAAUAUCCAGUGGUAACUCCAUGUGAGAAUGAAAAUUGCUGUCUGCAAGUGCAUGCUAAACUUGUAAGACAGCAACUUUUGCAUGUAUCAGCACCAGUUUCUUGAACUCUCUGGCUUAACAGCAUCUAUAUGAUCACAUACCAAACAAACAAGUUAUUGCAUAAACAGAUAGAUUUUUCUUUGGUAAGUAAUAGAUAAAUGAAAAUUAAAAAUACAACAAUCUCCUCAAAAGCAUAACCGCAGGGCAACACUUUGUGUAUGAAUGUGGUAGAAAUAGCUUUCCGAAUUUCUCAUGGUGGCAGUGGGCGGAGAGCCCUUGCAGUCAGUCUGCAAGGGCCUAUAAUUGAUUUAUCAGCAGUAUGGUUUAUAAGAGAUAGAAUAGUAAAAGCAAGAAAAACUUAAAGAGAAAACAGUAAACAGAAAGAGACCUGCAACCAAAGACCAUCAUUUACAGCUUUGCAGGGGAAUCCCAAUUCCUCAAGUUGCUUUCUUACACUAAGAAGUGCCUCAAAAGACAUGUUGCAGUAUAAAAGAGAUCCCCCUUCAAAUAUAUUAACAAAUGCAUCAUAUUCCUCACCACCAACCCCAAAGUUCCCUUUAGCAUAACCUUUAAGCUGUCUUCUGCCUACAGUUCUGCCACCCCAUGAAAGAGGAGGCAUGCCACAUCUUCCCCAAUCAUUUGGCAUUAGCUCACUAGUGGAAGAGUUCAUUGAAGAGCAUUGCCUUGACUGAUCCCUGGCAAGCCAACUAUUGUUAUUUAAGUGAUAGCAUGAUCCUUCAUCAGAUGGCCCUUCCAUAGCAACUCCAUUUGCCCCCAAUCUACUUGCUCCAACACCAACUGGCAUUUCAGUAUAACAUGAAGUUCUAAUUACAUCCAUUUCUGAAAAUGAAUUACUCAAUGAUGAAGGACCACCCAUGCUGCAGUUGCAUCCUGGCUCCAAAUUGGACUGAGGGUAUGCAACUUGUUGUACUUGCUGUUUGGAAUUUGAAACUCCUGUUUGGAAGUCAACCACACAGUCUGCAAGCUCUAUCAGAAGAUUACGAGCAGUAUUAUGGCCAUCUAAAUCAUCUUUUAGAUUUAAGCGCCCCAGUUCAGCCUCCAACCUUUUAUUAGUGAAACUACCCAUCAGAUUCUUUCCCUUUGCAUUAGAUGAAUCAGAUUGAGUAUCUGUUCCUGCCUCAGAACUGGAACUUCCAUGAUCAUAAUCUUCUUGUUUGCAUUGAGCACCUUUUGCAAGGAAUGUAUACAAUGCCAGUUCAAACCUGUCCAUAGAAGAAGAAAUUUUUUUUUUUUUUUAAUAGGAACUAAGCUGUGGACAAUAAAACCUAGUCAGAGGCCAUCAAUACUCCUUACCGUUUCUCUUCACUGGGUACCCAGAGCUCAUCAGAGGUCAGCAAUGCAAGCAAGGUUUGGGCAGAAAGUUUUGGAAGCACCUGUCCAUGACCAGGAAAUUAAAAAAAAUAUGCAGACAGUAGGUUUGCAUGAACAAAAUUGAAAAACUAAAAGUAUACUUAAUCCUCAUAAAAAUCAAAUAUACUGACAACACAGAUGCCAAGAGAGAGAAAAAAAAUUGAACUACACAGUCAUUAUUAAAUUUAAAGAUUGAGCUUACACCAUGUUUUUUUUAAGGCUGUGGGCAAGGAUAAAUAUGUCUAUAUAAAAAAGUGCGAAAAAUAAGUAUGUUUCCUCGGUCCACUGCUCUGUCCUUUCCUCUAAUAUUUUCUUAUGUUAUCAUAUUAUAUGAUCCCAAAGGAACAGAGAAUAUGUGAGAAACUGACAAAACCCACAAGGCAUAAUUAUGAAGUAAGCUCACCAUCCAUUACCUCUUUCAACUCCAUGGAACCACUUUGACAAAGGUAGCCCCAGCAAGCAUUUCUUACUCGUUCUCCAUGUAUGCCAUAAUCUUGGCUCUCUGCAAACACCUGAAAGCACAGGUAGACGCCAUCAAUAACAUAAGAAAUCGGUAGCAUGUCGACCAAACACAAAGAGGCAGCACAAGAAUUUCGAACCUGAUAGGCUAAGAAGUUUGAAGUCCAUAAUUCAGAUAUAAUGAAGUCUGUGCAUAUUGCACAUAAAUCCUGCAUUAAAAGAAUAGCAAGAUGUAAUCCAAAUGCACACAUGGGGAAGGCAUUCCAAGAGCAGAAAAAUUAAAGUCCCAUAAAAUUAAAAAAGCACAAGAAACAUAAAAAUGAACUUUAGGUCUACAAUGAGAAUAUGAUACCUGAAGGUCAAGAAAAGAAGCGGCAGCCAAAACACGAAAUGCAUUGUUAUCAUUAAGCUUGGGGUGGUGGCCGUAUAGAUAUGCCAAAGCCAUUGCAAUUGCUUCUCCGUUAACAUUCUUAUCGUCAAUAUGUAAGGUUAAAACCGGCUCAUUGGCUUCUUUCCAAGGUCCAUGAAGCAUGUUCCUGCCAGGCACACAGAGGGUAGCACAUGAAAACCCACAAUUUUACUCGUAAGCACCCAAUCAAUACAUAAUAACGCGUGUAUUAUUAAAAAAACCAAUACUAAUUCCCCAGAAAUAGCAUCAACAAAUAUACUUAAACUAUUUUAAUCAACAAAUAAACCCCAAAUUUUCUGCUUUCAGCAUCAUCAAACAACGCCCAAGCAAAGCGGGAGGGCGCGAAUUCAAGGGCAUUUUGGUAAAUUGACAGGGUAAAGGGACCUGAAGUAGGGGCUGCGUGAGAGAAUGAGGCGGUGGAGGUGGUAGGUGGAGCCCAUGGCGUGGACGACCAUAUCGGAGAAGGCGCCGGAGUUGAAGCCCUCCAAUUGAAUGUGGUCGCAGAGCGCCGUGAGGUUGCAAUCCAGUGCGCGCAGCUCGCUGCUGCUCCGGUCGUUGUCGGAGUGCUGAGAGGGCUGGAUCGUCAUCUUCAUUUGCGGCCCGUACGACCUGGCGGGAUUGCUAGGAUACUGAGGGUCCAUAUGAACCACACCUGCACUUGCACUUGGUUGGUUUUUCGAUUAUCAAGUGUACGAGAGUGGCGAUGAUGAGAGUGAGAGAACGGUGCUGCAGAUCAGAGAGCCAUUGUUGAUUUGAUUUGCUGUUGUUACUUGCUCUACACGAACUGCUGCAGCUUUGGAAAUGCAAAGGGGAUGGGCGCGGGUCGGACCCGACUGACUUGACCCGUUUGGCCCGCCCAGCCCAUUAGUUAUAUGUUUUUCUCUAUGCGUUGAGACGACGUCGUAUUAAGUCGUUCUCGAAACGGCGGUGUUUAGUACCAGUUUCAGUGUCAUCGUCUUUGUUGGUGUUAAGCUCAACUCUCUCUCUCUCUGGCAGAUUGGUUUAAACUUUAAACCCUAAACCCUGCGCUUCAAGAUUUUCCGGUAUGUGAAUUUACAAGCCCAUAACUUUUGUCAAGCGUUUCUUCUUUUUGUUUCUAGGGCACAGUUUAGGAGUCGAAAUGCUUAGCAAUUCGUGUCCCUGCAAUCGAAGCUCAGUCCUCAACCAUGAACUGUUUCCCAUUUUCUCUCACUUUCUCAUCAUAUAUGAAAAAUGCUUGCAAAAGCUUCAAUUUUGCACCACAAACUUAGGCCAAAUUCAUAUGAGUUUAUAUAUAAAAAUUGAAUGAAGUGUUAAAGUUUUUCCUUAAUUAAACAUUGUGCUGUGCCCCUCUUGAUAUGCAUUGUUUGUAUUUGCUUAAUGAUUCCCACCCCUCUGCCUCUUCUUUUUCUGUUUGUUUUAGUGUUUUACUUUUCAUGUCUAAUUUUCUAAAUGUUUAGCUUACUGAGUGUGAUUAGAGUACCUUUAGUCCUGAAAUGACUUGUGUGUUGAACUUCUCUAUAAAUUUGGAAGGUGAAGGGCAGACACAGUGUUAGAUUGGGCAUGCUUUUGUGAAGAUGCUCCUAAGAAAACAAGGUAAUUUUGGCAUGUAUACAGAUUCUUUCUUCUCUAUGGAGUCAAGUAUGUUGGUAAACACCGAUCAGAAAAAUAAAAUGUUCACAAAUGUCUUUGGCUUCCAUGAUGUUUGUCAUUUAAUACUUCUGGUGGCAUGUACAGGAAUCACUUCUUACCAUCUGCUUUAUUUUUCCUUUUUGCAGGCAUACGCCAUUUUCAUUUGAACUGCUGUAACAUUUACACUUUUUCAAAAAGGUUUUCAUCCUUGCCAAAUGGGCCUUCUUCUGAACAUGAUAGGAAAGUUGUUUCCUCCAUGGAUAGGGUUAGUUGCGAUAAUUCGAGAAAAGUUGAGGGUGUGAGACAAGUAGUUGAUGAUGUGUGCCAAGUAUUGGAGGGUCGUCCUUGGGGACCUACCCUUGAGAAUGCUUUAUCAAUGCUUGACAACAAACCUCAAUCAGAAUCAGUUAUUGGAGUCUUAAGGAGACUGAAAGAUGUAGGUCUAGCAUUUAAUUAUUUUCGGUGGUGUGAGAGACAAACUGACCAAGCACAUUGUCCCGAAGCAUACAAUUCACUUCUCAUGGUCAUGGCUAGGAGUAGAAAUUUUAAGUUCUUGGAACAGGUCCUGGAAGAAAUGAGUAUUGCAGGAAUUGGCCCAUUUAAUAACGUAUGUAUUGAGUUAGUUGUGAGCUGUGUUAAGUCACAGAAGCUGAGAGAAGCUUUCAAUCUAUUGCAAACCAUGAGGAAGUUCAAAUUCCGCCCAGCAUUUUCAGCCUAUACAACUCUAAUUGGAGCUUUGUCUACAGUUCCUGAAUCUGAUCUCAUGUUGACUCUCUUUCAUCAAAUGCAGGAGAUAGGUUAUGAAGUUACUGUGCAUUUAUUUACAACUAUUAUUCGUGUAUUUGCCAAGGAAGGCCGAGUUGAUGCUGCUCUCUCCUUGUUGGAUGAGAUGAAGAGCAACUCUUUUAAUGCGGAUGUUGUUCUUUAUAACGUCUGUAUAGACUGCUUUGGUAAAGUCGGUAAGGUGGAUAUGGCCUGGAAAUUCUUUCAUGAAAUGAGAAUGCAUGGCAUGGUGCCUGAUGAUGUGACAUAUACUAGCAUGAUAGGAGUUCUCUGCAAAGCUGAGAGACUAGGUGAAGCGGUGGAGUUAUUUGAGGAGAUGGAUGUGAAUAGGAAAGUACCUUGUGUGUAUGCGUAUAACACCAUGAUCAUGGGCUAUGGUUCUGCUGGAAGGUUUGAGGAAGCAUACAGCUUAUUUGAGAGGCAAAAAAGAAAGGGGUGCAUUCCGAGUGUGAUUGCAUAUAAUUGUGUUCUCACUUGCCUAGGGAAGAAGGGAAGAGUAGAAGAAGCGUUAAGGAUUUUUGAUGAGAUGAAGAAAGAUGCAGCUCCCAAUCUUCCAACUUAUAACAUUCUAAUAGACAUGCUUUGCAAGGCAGGUAACCUCGAGGCUGCUCUGCGUGUUCGGGAUGCCAUGAAAGAAGCUGGUUUAUAUCCUAAUGUUAUGACUGUAAACAUAAUGAUUGAUCGACUCUGUAAAGCUCAGAAACUUGAUGAUGCUUGUUCUAUCUUUGAAGGAAUGGAUCACAAAGUUUGCACACCAGAUGCAGUUACGUUUUGUUCUCUUAUAGAUGGCUUGGGUAAACAAGGAAAGGUAGAUAAUGCCUACAGGCUUUAUGAGAAGAUGCUGGAUUCUGAUCAGAUUCCAAAUGCUAUUGUAUAUACAUCCCUCAUCAGGAACUUCUUCAGGUGUGGUAGAAAGGAGGAUGGUCACAAAAUAUACAAAGAAAUGGUGCGUAGGGGCUGUUCUCCUGAUCUGAUGCUUCUUAACACCUAUAUGGAUUGUGUUUUCAAGGCUGGUGAAAUUGACAAAGGUAGAUUUUUGUUUGAGGAGAUAAAGGCUCAAGGAUUCAUCCCGGAUGUGCGGAGCUAUUCAAUCUUAAUUCAUGGCCUUGUAAAAGCAGGUUUGGCACAUGAAACCUAUGAAUUAUUUCAUGCGAUGAAGGAUCAAGGCUGUGUAUUGGACACCCGUGCUUACAAUGCCAUCAUUGAUGGAUUCUGCAAAUGUGGAAAGGUGAAUAAAGCAUACCAGCUGCUGGAGGAAAUGAAAACUAAGGGUCACCAGCCCACAGUUGUUACUUAUGGUUCUGUCAUUGACGGGCUUGCCAAGAUUGACAGACUUGAUGAAGCAUACAUGCUUUUUGAAGAAGCAAAGUCAAAGGGAGUAGAAUUGAAUGUAAUUAUUUAUAGUAGUCUUGUUGAUGGGUUUGGGAAGGUGGGUAGAAUUGAUGAAGCAUAUCUAAUCAUGGAAGAGCUAAUGCAGAAGGGUUUGGCACCUAAUGUUUACACAUAUAAUUGCUUGCUUGAUGCACUUGUGAAAGCUGGUGAAAUUGAUGAAGCCAUUGUUUGCUUUCAAUCCAUGAAAGACUUGAAAUGUACACCCAACCAUGUAACUUAUAGCAUUCUCAUAAAUGGUCUUUGUAGAGUUAGAAAAUUCAAUAAGGCUUUUGUGUACUGGCAAGAGAUGAAGAAACAAGGGUUACAGCCCAACACAAUCACCUACACCACCAUGAUAUCCGGACUUGCAAAGGCUGGGAACAUAAGAGAUGCUAGUGGGCUUUUUGAGAGGUUUAAAGCCAGUGGUGGCAUUCUCGAUUCUGCUAGUUAUAAUGCUAUGAUAGAAGGAUUAAGUAGCGGAAAUAGGGCAAUGGAAGCAUAUGCACUUUUUGAGGAAACUCGGCAGAAAGGUUGUCAUAUUCAUACCAAGACAUGUGUUGUUCUGUUGGAUGCCUUGCACAAGGCUGAAUGCCUUGAGCAGGCAGCAAUUGUCGGUGCUGUGCUUAGGGAAACUGCAAAGUCUCAACAUGCUUCAAGAUCAUGGUAAAAUUGCAUAUCGUGCAAUUUACUGGAGGGAUUAAUAGAUGUGUUUUGCUCAGUGAGUGGUGAUGACACAAGGUGCCUUCUCAUGCAUUCAUGCUGAUGGAGCAAAUAUUGGGGGAUGGGAGAUCUUUUUUCUUUUUUUUUCCUUCCUGAAAAGUCUUCGUUCCAUCAAUUCCUUAACAUGAUUGAAGUCGCUCUCUAUAGAGGUAACUCCUUUACGAUUACAAUUGUAGUUACUGAAAUUGGAUGCAUGUAUCUGGAAUAGGAGUCCUGAGUCUCAUGACUUUUGGGACUACGCCAACAUGUUAUUCCUCCUGAAAAUGUUCUGAUUAAUUGAAUAUUCAGGGUUGUAACUUUUAAAAUCUAGAAUUCUAUGGUGUUUUAGUGCAUGUGUGCUCAAUAUUGUCUUGUGCUUUUUGGCGCAUGCAUAAUAUACAAAAAACACACAGUUUGGUAGAGGAAAGCUGUGUGAAUGAUGUGUAAUUCUUCUGGCAGAUGUUGGCCUUUUCUCUUUCCCUUUUCCUUUUGUGCUGAUGUGGUUCUGGCAGAUUUUCAAAUUUCCAUGAUUCUAAAUUCUCAAUACAAAUGAUUCAGUUUUCGACCAUUUUUAUGUAUUGAUGUUGUAGCAAGAGUUCUAUUGAUGCAACCUUUGCAUUGACUAAAUACUUAUGGUUGCAGGUAUAUAGUGUUUCGAAUUUGUCUCGGUUGUGAGAUGUCAAGGAAAUUGAGUUUGAAGAGAAUGAACCUUCCUUCCAAGAUGUAUGUCGUCCAGCCCAACCUCGGACUCUUUCUUCCCGACCUAUUUUACUCUUUGCAACACUAACUUCAGUCGCCGUUAUUCAGGAGCAUGAGUUUGUUUUGAGAACCAAUGGUUCUUGAUUGAAUACAGUGCCUUGCCAAUUAUUCCGGAUACUCGGUUCAAUUGAGUUAAUGGGCCUCUUUGGAGGAGCAGCCCCCCUCCCCUACAAAGAGGGCAAAUUUUUGGUUUGUAUGGCCGAUGGCCUAUGUUGGAUAUAGUCGUUGGGCGGGUCAUCUUCUUCUGUAAAUUUUUCUCUUUCCUCCUGAGCAUAGGAAAAUUUUGUAAGUGACACCCAAUAGCUAGUUCUAUAAUGUUAUACCCAAGCACUUUAUGUUUUUGGAUAAAUUAAAUAAAUAUAUAUAAAGCAAAAGGCAGAGAAUGGUAAAAUAUUCAAAAUAUCAAAAAAUGUCUUUGGUUAAUGCAAACAUUAAGAAUUGAAAUUAUUAAUUAAAUGAGAAUAAUAUGGUAAAUUUAUACUUUUUCAUAUUUAAAAAAAUUAAAAUUAAAAGAAAAAUAAGAUAAUAGAUUUUAUUUUUUCCCACUAACCUUUUUGCAAGCGCUUCAGCACUUAAGAGGUUAUUUUUUUUAAAAAAAAUUAAUUUAUUUUAAAAUUAAAAAAGAUAAUGGGUAGUUGUGUUCCAUAAAAAUAGGAUACGUGAUUUUUCUUUUAAUUUUAAUUUUUUUAAUAUGAAAAAAUGUGAAUUUACCAUAUUAUUCUCAUUUAAUUAAUAAUUUCAAUUCUUAAUGUUUGCAUUAAUCAAAGGUAUUUUUUGAUAUUUUGAAUGUUUUACUAUUCUCUGCCUUUUGCUUUAUAUAUAUAGAUUAUUAUUUUUUAAUUCUAAAAGAAAUUUAAAUUUAAAAAAAAAAGGCUAAGAAAGCCAAUAUUCAUGCCACGUGUCUUAACGGUAUGGAAAUUUGAAAUAUAGCCACUAUACAGAAAGAUACGCGGUGCACCAAAGUGUAGAGUGUGAUGCGCUUCGUUAAUGUAACCGUUAACACGGGAGUGUCCAACGGAUAUUUUUACAGCUUUUCAAAUUUCAAAUUUUCAAACGAAAGGUAAACAAUAUUUUACUUUCUUUAUCUGUAUCAUCAAACCCCUCCACCAACCCUUCAUUCUCCUCGUUCUCCUCGUCAUCAAGUCCCAUCUCUCUCUCUCUCCCUCUUCUUUGUUCCUUCUCUGCGAUUUCAAUGGCUAUGGCUCUCAGGCCCAUCGAUAAUGCUCUUCCAACCACACCAGAAAGGCCGAAAAAGCAAACCAAAGUUCCUGUUUCUAUCCAAAAGCAACCCGAGUUUGGGGUCAAUGAUGAAAACCAGGCUCCACUUCCUGCAGCAACCAUUGAUGCCACCAUUGAUUAUAUCUCUUCUGAGAAUCUCAAACCCAUCUCAGACCCUGAUUUCAAAAUUCUGGUAAUUUUCCAAAUUUCUUUUAUUUCUUUCUGUAAUUUAGAACAAACCCAACUGGAAUUUGGCAAUAAAUUCUUCAAUUUUUGGAAUUUCAGAGCUUGAAUGAGGGAUUAGAUUCAAAGGAUUGGGUGAAGGUGUGCGAGUCUCUGAACAAUGUUAGGCGUUUUGCACUCUAUCACUCUGCUCUUUUGUUUCCUACUCUGUAAGUGCCUUUUCUUCUCUUUUUUCUAUUGUCUGCUGUAAUUAGUUAACAAAUCGACGUCUUUUUGUCAGUGAUAGCGUUAACAUGUAUAUUGUGGUAUGAACAGAGAGAAAGUUAUGGUGGUGAUGGUUAAGGCAAUGAAGAAUCCCAGAAGUGCUUUAUGCAAGACAUCCAUUAUGGCGUCGUUUGAUAUCUUUAAGGCCUUUGGUGACAGUUUAUUUGACUCUGCCACCUCUGCUGCAUUUGAUCAAUUGGUGUGCACCCAAUACAAUUUUUGAUUUUCUUAAUUUCCUUUUCCAUGAUCAUAUUUUCAUCAUCAUUUUGUUAUAUUCUGAUGGACGGCUUGGAUUGUUUGAUUGGUUCACAGCUGCUGCAACUGCUGCUGAAAGCGUCUCAAGACAAACGGUUUGUGUGCGAAGAAGCAGAUAGGACCCUGAACACAAUGGUGCAGUCUUUGACUCCUCUGCCUUUGCUUCAAAAGCUUAGAGCCUAUGCUUCCCAUGCCAACCCCCGAGUCAGAGCCAAAGCUGCCGUUUCCGUCUCAGCUUGUGUCUCUAAGAUGGUAAAUACUUAAUGAAGUGUUCUCUUGUCUUCUAAGCAUAACAUUUUUUCUCAAGCAAAAUGGGGGUUUUCUACCAAUUUCAGGGGCUUGAAGGAAUGAAGGAUUAUGGGCUGGUCUCUUUGGUUAAAAUGGCUGCAGAUUUGUUGAAUGAUAGGCUGCCGGAGGCAAGGGAAGCGGCACGGGGUAUUGUGCUUUCGGUGUACAAUGCCUAUACAGAGAAUGAAGAGGAGAAGCAAGAGAUAUGGCUAAACUUUUGCCAGUCUAAUUUGACACCAAUUCAUGCUCAGUCCAUGGUCAAAAUUACUUCUUCUCAGUAGAGUUUAGAAGAUAGUGAUUAGUGAUUUUGCUGGUAGAAGCAGCUAUAGUCUGAGUGCUACUUUGGCCAGUGAUUCUGCUGGUAGAAGCAGCCUGGUAGCAGCUACUAUGUUAGGAGUGUUACUGGUCAAAUGAAAGGGAAGAUGAGUUUACAUACAUCUUCCAGUUUCAUGUAAAUUUCUUCUUAAUGAAAUUUUCAUUGUUAAUUACGAGCCAACCAAGUGACCAAAAAAGUGAUACAGCGAUCCUCUUUGUGCAUAAAUUUUCAGUAAUUUAUUUGUCUACAAUAUUGUUAGGGCACCUAGUCUUCUACAGCCAGCAACAAAUUAUCAGUAAUUUCUGGUGUGUGCAACUACAACAUGCCACAAUUGCAAGCCAGCCAUUCAUUUCACAAACAGAUUAAAAUCAUCUGCUCAAUAUCCCAAAAACAGAUUAAAUUCAUUCCAUCAGCAGAUUAAAAUCAGCUGCUCAAUAUAUGUACAAGUGAAAGUCAACAUAACUCAUCUAAGCUAUUCCCAUGCAUUGUCUAUUAGUUUGAAUAUAUGAAUCCUACGUUUGAAAGAUUUCCCGUUGAAAUCAUUUGAUUGAAAAGAAAGAAAUAAAAAGACAUCCCUACGAGCAAAAACUGCACCCUUCGCUAUAUUUUGUGACAACCGGGUCAUUCACAUCUGCUCUUGCAUAUUCCACAACCACAAGGAAAUAACAUAUUCACAGUUUACCCUAACAAACCUUCAGUUGAGAUUAGGGAGACCCAAGCCAUCCUAACAUCAGAAAUUAUAGAACCCUAAAACCAAAAGCCACCCUGAUUGGAGGCAGCACUUGAAACAGGAAAAAAAACCAAAAUUUCAAUCAUGUUCAACCAAAGAGCGCAAAGCCAUCUCAACUUCUUCAAAAGGUUGCCCGGCAUACAGCGGAAGCUGCCCCUUUUUCACAAAUAUUACCUUCAUGUUAUCUGAUUUUAUUGCUUCACGAAGUUCCUACAAAAAAUAAAGCCCCUUUCUCAGCUUAGCACAGAUGACAAGAAUGACAGAAAAAGGCAUGUCUAAUGGGAAGUUGUCUUUGAGACAAUUUUAAAAGGUGUCACAGUAUGUUGGACAAUACAAUAGUGACUCAAACAUAAAGAUUUGAUAUGGGUAAGUUUAAACUUUUCUAAAAUCAAAUUAUAAUUCUUACUUUGUUUGGCAAAGGAGCAAUAUCAGCACUGAAAUCACCCAGAUCUUCAAAAAGAGACUCCAAUAGGAAACAGAAGUUAUUGGCAUCAGCACGGUCCUCGAAAGCAACAGUAUAUGAAGAAUCUCUCUGGUUUUGGGGCUGAGAACUGAACUUUAAAGUAUAAAGUCCUCCUUGCCCCUCACUACCAGAACCUCUCCGCAUCAGAAUAACCUGGCAUGGGAUACAUACUAUUUCGAUUGUCAGUUGGAGACAAAAAUGCUUACCCGAACACAAAAUAAGAUACCAAAACACAGACUUUAUUGGUUUGAUAAGUAAAACUUGUAAAUGAAAUUCAUAACGGGGCAUAAAAGGUUAAAGAAAUACAGCUAAAAUGGCACUAUAGAAUGACUAACAAAAUCAUAAAGCAUAAGCUAGAAUUGUAAGCAUCCAUGAAAAUUUUAUGGUAGCACCAAUGAGUAAGUAAAGUUAAAUGGUUGCCUAAGAUGGCUUGGGCAAAUGCAACAAAGUCCAAUUGCUAAACAGGCAGCACAAUUUUAAAAAUAUGUAGUAAAUAUGGAAAAGUUUCACAACAUACCAAAACAUAAGGAAGAUCCAACCACCAUGGAUCAAUCUCAUUCUUCGAUCUAUUGCCACUGACUUUGUUAGGCACUCGUUCCUUUCCAGCUUCUUUGUGUCUUGAACUGCCAUUUACAUGAUCACCAGAUUUUAUGGUAGUUUCGUGGACUUCUUUCUUCAAGCGAGACUUUUUCUUCCCCAACUCUCUUGAUUUUUUUGACUUUACUCCUUCAGAUGACCUCCCUCGUCUUGUCCUCUGGACGGUACCUAAAAUUUAGCAAAUCAAUAAAACAGCCAGACUAACAACAAACCGGUCUUUGUGCAAUUUAAAAACUUUACCAUUCUUUGGUUCAAUAGUUCCAACUCCUAUGUCCUUUCCACUAUCCAUUUUUCCAGUUCCUUUGUCCAAAUGGUUCCCAUCAUCUUGCAACAAUUUGGGUUCUUCCUCCAAAGUCUCAGAAACACUUUGUUCGAAAUCCAACUCUGGCCGGUUUUCAUCAUGCUCUUCCAAACCUCCAAAUCCCUUGGGACUUCUUUUCGCCUCAGCCUUAAAUUUAAGCUUUUUCUUAAACAUCAAUCCCCCUUCCCCCUCUUUCAAAUUCUCAUCUUCACUAUUCUCAUGCUUUCCAAAGUCUUUCACAUAUGGACCCUGUAACUUCUCCCUUUUAGAAUUCAACCUAUUCUGCAACUUAAGCAACCGCUCCCCGACUUCUUUUUCAAUACCGAUUCUAUUCCUUGGCAUCGAACUUUCAUCAAUAACAUCAUCUUCGUCACCAACAUUUCCCUUCCCUUCCUUUUUCUCUUGCUUUCGCGCUUCCCUUGCCAUUGCUCUAAUUUCUUCUAUUUUCUCAUCCAACUGGAGCUCAUCCAAAUAAACCACAUUGCUCAAUCCAGACCCAACAUUUGUAUUCAAAACUUUCCCUUUGGAUAAACUUAAACCUGAACUCUUGGAUUUCCUAUUUUCCUCAUCAGGAUUGUCAUUUCCCAGUAGCCAAACAGUAAAAAACGCCUGAAACAAAUAAGCCCCAACCAAAUACGCCCCAAAUUUAAGGACAGACUUCGCAGAUAAUUUACCAACAAUGCCAUUAUACUCCGGUGUCGUCUCAGAUACGCUGAAUUCCUCGACCUUAUUGACUUCUCCGGCAACGACGUCGCCUUGGUCGGAGCUACGCUCGAGAUUAGAGUCGUUUUCAUAUUGGGUUACGGGGGACUCAAUGGGAAUUACGGGGCUUGUUAGGGGUUGUUCGGGAAGGAGAGGGGUUCUGGGUGGCGGGUCGGGUUCAGCUAGGGUUUUGAGGAUUUUCGGGCGCAGAUAGUUUUUCCGUCGUGUGGGCUUUGAUGCUAGGGCAAUAGAGGCUGAUAGGAUGGGUUUGGUUGGUUUGGCGGCGGAGCAGAUUGGAGGCGUGAGGAAAGGGAAGGUGGCGCAAUGCGCACCCGCCAUUGCUGGUUAGGAAAGGAAGGUGCUUCGGUUUGAAUUUUCAGCUAGAGUGUAUUUGAAGGGCUGGCCCGAGCUAAAUGCGAAUGUAGCGAAAUUAGUUAUGAGCCCGUUGAGUUGAGGCCCUUCUUUUGUAGCCCAUUUUAGAACAAAAAAAAAAAGAAUAAAUUUAAUUUGAAGAAAGAAGAAAUUUUAAAAAAAAUGUAAAGAAAAAUUCAUUGACACAAAACAUUAAAUUGUAUCUCAUGUUCUUUAAGAGGUUUUCGAACGUGAAAACUCAUUUUGUAAAACGAUAACAAAUGUCGCCUUAAAUUAUUUUGUUACGAAGAUAAUGAAAUUAUUUACCUAUUAAAUUAUAUGAUAGAUUGAUAAAUAACCCACUCCUUGAAGCUUGUAUCAUUGUGUGAUGAAAAGUGCCAAUUGGGUUUGUUGAACAUUGUGCUAAUGAGGUUUGUUCAAGAACACCAAUAAAAAAAAAAAGGAGUGUUUUCAUUUGUGUUAUCGUCUAAGGGUUCGUUUGAGACUGCUUCUCUAGGAAGUACUUCUGCUCAUAAGUCUUUCUAACAAAAGCACUUUUAUUAUAAAAAUCUUAAAUUUUCAUAAAAAAUUAAAUUGAUUUGUGGAAAAGCACUUGGAAGUGCUUCAUAAAGAAGCACAUAGCAGGUGCUUCUCUAAAAUGCGCUUCUAUAACCCAGAAGUGCUUCUAAACUUUUCUGCUAAACCAUGUCAGAAGCGCUUUUGGUUAUCAGACAAAAGCGCUCCCAAAUACGCCCUAAUUAGAGCAUGAGUGUGAUUAACUUCUUAUACGCAAUUUGGAACCACAAAUAGUUAGCACAGAUACCAAACCUUGGCCAUACCGUUUUCCCAGAUCGCAAGCAGCCUUUGCUUCUCCUAUAUGAGACAACUUGUAUGUAAUUGAAUGCCUUCGUUUUGUCGCCAACAUUUUACUUUUGUUAACAGAUGUAUGUCUGCAUGUAUAAACCAAAUCAGUUUUGCUCUCUGUUGGUUGGAGUCACAGACUCACAGGUACAGCCCUUACCACUCAGCCUUAUAACAAUCCCACAUCGGCUGAACCAGAGAGGCAUUGACGAGAAUGGGCGUAUAAAAGUAGAAACAAGACAUGAAUAUAAGCAUACCUUUCUCGGCCUUUUGGCUAAGAUCAAGUGUAGUAUCUGUUCUUAUCAGUUUAAUAUCUGAUACGUGGACCAAUGGUCCACACGAUAUUAAAUUAAUUUCUUUAGGGGGAGGGUCCACCACAGUAGCUUGCUAUUGGGACUCUUGCGCGUCGCUCAAGCGUUGCACUACUGCAUGAGCCUGGCGCACCCCACCAAAUCUAGUUCGAACUUAAAAUUAUCCUCUCAAUUGCAAGCCAACCAUUGUGUAUUUUGUAACACCGGAGGACGCAUCCUGAGAAAGAGAAAAAUAUAUGCUGUGAAUUUGCAGGCCUUUAAACUCCGUUCUGGACACAUGAUAUGUGUAUGCCUUCAAACUCUCGUCUUUUGCUGCCCACAACAAUUUGUGCCAGUGGGAUUUUUGGUGUCACGAAAAUUUUUGGUGCCCAUGCACCUUUUGUUAGAAGAAAAAAAAAAUAUAUACCUUUUGUAUGUACAUGCUUGAAAUUCAAAAUCUACAUUUAAUUGCUGGAAUUUUUAACAUUUCAUCAAUAGAUGUAUGUAUAUGGAACCCAAAUUAUUUCUGUGGCUGAAAUUCUUUUGUUACAAUGAACGAGAAGUGGACCUUUUGUUUAUCAUAAUCCUAACUUAUUUUUGGACUCGCCCUCAUCAAUUGAACUAAUGUCAAAAGUUUAAGAAGAUGAAAUUUAUAAAUUUGGAAGAAUAAUAUGAUAGAUUAUUAAAUAAGUGUUAUGUAUUAUGUUAAGAUAAGACAAAUAAGUGCAGUAAUUAACGUGGGUAGUGGGUGAUGUUCUAUAGGAUAGUUUGUUCCUACUACUUGUAGUUAAAGCUUAUUGAUAGUGGAUGAAUCUUUUUCUCUUGUGUAGACCAACUAUCAUCCAUGUUUUAUCUAUCUAUAUAUAAGAUACACUUCUAUAAAGGUGUAUAAUUUAUGGAAUAAAUAUGAAGAGAAUUAUUAACUAAAUAACUUGGUUAUUUAGAGGUUAAAAUUCCUUUAUAAACCCCGUUUAAAAGAGGUGAAGGUUCCUCCAUAAUGCCCAAUUCCAUACUUUCAUUGUUUCUCCUAGUCUUUUACUUCAAUCCAUAUCAAUAAUUCACUCCUUGAAACAUCACUGUGAUGAAAAGUGCUAAUUACGAUGAAUAGUGAAAGCUAAGAAAAGAGUGUAAUGUUCUAAGCAAUUGGGAACCGUCCAUAGUAAGUACACAUGCCAAACCUUUAUUUUAUUUUUUUGAUAAAACACACACCAAACCUUGGCUAUACCUUUUUCCCAAAUUGCAAGCCGCUUACAUGAGAAAUACAGUCCUUUGUAGCCAACAUUAUAGCCCUUACCACUCAGCCUUAUAAGCACGCUUUAGCUGUUUGUACCAAUCCCACAUCGGCUUCACCAAAGAAGCAUGGAAGCGAAUGGACCUAUAAGAAUGGAAAUAAGACAAGAGAUUAAGCAUACCUUUCUCGGCCUUUUGGCUAAGAUCAAGUGUAGUAUCUGUUCUUAUCAGUUUAAUAUCUGAUACGUGGGCCAAUGGCUCACAUGAUAUUAAAUUAAUUUCUUUAGGAGGAGGGUCCACCAUAAUAGCUUGCUAUUGGGGCUCUCAAGUGUCGCCCAAGCGUUGCAAUAUUGCAUGAGCCUGGCGCACUCCACCAAGUCUAGUUUAAAUGUGUCAUUUAUAAGUCUUUUUGAGGACUUAUAGAGGGAGUCAAGUCUAUUUUUGGGUUUGAGUUUUUUAUAGAUUAAAGAAGAGACUGAUUCUUACGAGUUCAAUCAAACCUUCAAUGACGUCUAUUUGUAUUAUUUGUGAUCUGAAGAAAAUUCUGAAAAAGAAAUAAACUCUCUAUUUGUAAUUUUAAGAACAUUCGAAAAAAGAAAUAAUCUGUCUCGAACAUAACAAAUCACAAAUUGCAUUUCUAUACUUAUAACACUGCAUGUACUUGAAUAAUGCCACAAACCUUAUUGAGUAAGAUUGUUCUUCUGAAUUUGCAGACCAAGACUUCAAACUGCAUGGCUCUGGGUCAGUAUGUGAACCCAAAUUAUUUUUUAUGGCUGAAAAGUCAUUUUAUAAAGCAAUUAGAAAUAUCGGUUUAAAUUCUUUUGUUACAAUGAAAUAGAAGUGAAUUCUUUCUUAUCAUAAUUCUAAUUAAUUUUUUGACUCAUCCUCCUCACUUGAAUUAAUGUUAAUGGCUUGAGGAUUAAAUUUGUGAAUUUGAAAGUUGAGUGUUUCUCUGGCACUUUUUUCAGCAUUUUUUAGCCAGUGAUUAUGUCUAGUCUAAAGUACCACAUCGAAAAUGCAUAAAAAGUUAAGAACGAGACUAAUGUAUUAAAAAGGAAUAAAAGGCACUUCCAAACAUACUUACCUGGACGGGAUCUAUGAGCGAUCAAGAAGGUUCAUGGCCUAGGUUGGUGACCUCCAUUGCACUUAGGAGGGGUGCCCGCAUAUGGUCUCCUCAACGUAGGAGAGCCAACGUCAUAAUUUGUUGUAGUGGGGGCCUGCGUUCGCGCGGUCCCUUCCUCAAUUCAAUAUCAACUUUAUGCAACUAGCUAGCAAAAUAGGCUCAUUCCUCGUCUUCCUCAAGUUGAUUUUACCUUUUUGUCUGGUAUAAUUGUUUAAUAUAUCCAGCUGUGACAUGCAAAAAUAAUUGUUAAUUUAUCUCUUCAAUUAUGCAGUGACAUGCAAAAAUAAUUUUUGACUGGACCUUUUCUGUCAAACCAUCCAUAAAUUGCUUCGUCAGUAUCAAUCCUUGCAUAUUAUAAAUUGAUAAAUAAGUGUUACAUAUUAUGUUUUUAUUUUAUUCAUAUUUCAUAGACUUGCAUGGGCCUGGCGCACCCCAUUAAACCUAGUUCAAACUUGCAAUUCUUUAGUUGUAGAGAAGAGCUACAGGCCCAUGGUCUAUUCGAUGAUUUUCAUCGCAAAUGGAAAAAGAACUAGCGCCCUCAAGCAAAAUGGCCCAGCAAGCUGUUAACAGAUUGAGGUGUAAUUCUUAAAUCGUUCGUUUAUAAAAGGUUUAAUUACUAUUAAAGUAGACCGAACGUCUAUUUUAAGGGUAAAAUAAGCGAACUCUUUAUCUAUCGUAGACCUAACUUAUUUCCAAACUUAUCCUCAUCACUUGAACUAUGAUCAAGGGCUUAAGAUGAUUAAAUUUGUGAAUUUGAAAAAGUUAUAUGAUAGAUUGAUAAUUAAGCGUUACGUAUUAUGUUUUAUGUUUUAAUUUAAUUUUAUUAAUAUUUCAUAAGUUAGUUUAAUAAUUACUCUGUAUGAUGAGAGAUUCCCUUAAUCCCUCAUCCAACGUGAGUACUGGGUGCUGUUCUGUGGGAUAGUUUGUUCCUUUGUAGUUAGAUGUUGUUAUAGCGGAUGAAGCUUGAUAAUUAUUAACUAACUUUUGGUUAGAGGUCGGGUUCCUCCACAAACCCCACCUAAAAGACGUCAAGGGUUCCUACAUAAACCCCACUUAAAAGAGGUCAAGGAUUUCUCCAUAAUCCCCAAUUCCAUAUUUUCAUUGUUUCUCCUAGUUUAAGCCACUCCCUUAAGCAUCAUUGCGAUUGCAUAAUGAAAAGUGCUAAUUAGGAGCUGUUUGAUAACCAUUUCAAUUUUAGGUUUUAGUUUUUAGUUUUUCUUUGUUGUGCUAGAGUAUAGAGGAAAAUGAGAGUGAGUAUGAGAUUGAAAGAGAGGAUCAGAGGGGAGGAUGGAAGAGAUGAGUAACAAAAGUGAAAACAAUUUGAAAUAGAUUUCAGUUUUUAGUUUUUGUUUUCACUUUUGUUACUCCUCCCUCUCAUCAUCCCCUCUCAUCUUUCUUCUUAAUCUCAUCUCCACUCUCAUUCACUCUUCCAUUCUCCCACUUUUUCCUCUAUACUCUAGCAAAAAAAAUGAAAAAUGAAAAAGAAAAACUAAAAUUGAAAUGGUUAUCAAACGGGCCCUAAAUUUAUUCAACAUUAAUAUUUUGGUGCUAAUGGGGUUUGUUUAAAAUUGGAUGUUUUAUGAAGAUUUUGUAUGAAUAGUGAAAACUAGAAAAGAGUGAAGUUCUAAGCAAUUUGGAAUCGCACAUAGUACACAUACCAAACCUUGGCCAUAUACCCUUUUCCCAAAUUGCAAGCAGCCUUUUGCUUCUCUUAUAUGAGAAAUACAAUCCUUUUUUAGAACGUGUAUGUAAUUGAAUAUCUUUGUUUUGUUGCCAAUAUUUUAGCUUUGUCAACGCAUGUAUGCAUGUAUAACCCAAAUCAAUUAUGCUCUCAGCCUUCGUAGCCCCCUUUUGCUGUUUGUAAAUGUUGAACAGUCCCACAUCGACUGGACCAAUAACCAUGGAAGUGAAUGGCCCGAUAAAAAGAGAAACAAGAGAUGUGAGAAGGCAUACCUUUCUCGGCCUUUUGGCUAAGAUCAAGUGUAGUAUCUGUUCUUAUCAGUUUAAUAUCUGAUAUGUGGGUCAAUGAUCCACACGGUAUUAAAUUAAUUUCUUUACGGGGGAGAGUCCAUUACAAUAGCUUGCUAUUGGGGCUCUCAAGUGUCCCAAGCGUUGCACUAUUGCAUGGGCCUGGUGCACCCCACUAAAUUUAGUCUAAAUUUUUUAGGGAUAUUGACUGGAAUGGUUGUCUAAUUAUUGCUUGAGUUUUAUUUUGAUUGGUCAAUUAAAAUUUUUAUUUUAAUAGUCCUUCAAUUCCUUGUUUAGUAUUAAAAUUGUCAUAAUAUCAAAGUAUGUCAAAUAUUUUGUGAAAUUGAGGCGCAAAAUCGUCGAAGUCUGUCCAUCCCUACAAAGCCAUCUCUAGCCCUUGCCCUUCGUUCCCUCUAUCCCCUCUACCCUAAAUCUGUGAAGAGGUUGGUGGAUAUGGUAGGAUGAAGGGGAAGAGACGAAGGAUUGGCUGGAGUAGGAGAAUAGGGAUUUAAAUGAUAGAGCGAAAUGGGGUUGUUCGAACAAGAAGACUACUCUCAUCGUUUGCUCCACUAACAUUGUUGUUGCUUAUAUGUUCGUUCUCACUACGCUUCUCUGUACAUCUACUCCAUUAACAUUGUUGCUGGAUUGAAUUGGUAAAGCGAUUUGCUGUAACUUUUAUAAUUUAACGGAGAACCCUUUGUUAUGCUCAAAAGGUAAAGGCACUAGGAGCUUUCCAGAGAUGCAAUGGUGGAAUUGCCACAACCUUUGAAACUGAAGUUACCAAUGAGAUAGUUGAGAGGUUGAAAACCUUGAGGCCCAAAGCAAAUUUUACUAAGCGGAGAGGAAGGUGGAAGACAGUAAACAAGUGUUUGUGGCAGAGCCGGCCUUGGGUAAUCUGAGGCCCAGGGCAAAAAUCUAAAGUGUGCCCAAAAUAAUGUAAACAUUAAAAUUAUAAUUUUUUAUCAAGUAAUUAAUUUUAUUAAAAUUAUAGCAUUCAUUGUUUUUACAACAUAAGCCUUCCCGUUUGUUAUUUUUUGAUGAUAAUAAUUUGAGGAAAAAUGUCAUCGUGUUCAUCCAUAGGGAAUUUGCAGUUAAUUUCUCCCACAUGAAACUUUUCUAAAAGUAAAUCUGCCAUUUUUGCAUCAUAAACUUUCAAUUCAUUUUCAUUUUCUGCUUAUUCUUCCAAAUGAAUAUGAACAAUUCAUUUGGUAAAUCUUCAGAUAAAUUUUCAUGUUUAAACCAAGUAAUCCAUUACAAAACUCACGUUCUCCUUGCAAAACUGAUUAAGACCCAAGAAAAAUCAUCUUUGUUGUUUAUCUAGGUCUGCACCUGAAACCCAUCUCAAUUCUCAAUGAAUAAGUUCUCAAUUGGCGAUCUUGAAUCUGCAAGAAUGCCUAUAUAAAGUGAUUAUUUGGAAAAUAGCAGCAACAUAGGAAAUAAAUAGACAAAGAGAAAGGACUUACAGCUCUGUUGGCUUCGUCUCUUCUGUCAUGGAGGGGAAAUGAUAAGAAAGACGAAAGAGAGAGGCAAUGGAGAGGAGAGAGGCCGCGGUGUGACUGUGAGUGAGGGAUGAUAGGUACAUAUAUAAGAAAAUUGAGACAACAAGAAUCUAAACCCUAGUGUGGUCUGGUUUUGUUUUGUUUUUUUUUUGGAAUAGGAUUAAAAAACAAUAUAUUUGCUAGCAUAUAUGGGUGAGCACGCGCUUUUGGGAAGGGAGGAUUAAACAAAAAUGCACGCUUGGUUUUUUAUUUAUUUAUUUUAUUUGUUUUGUUCUAUACGUAUAUAAUAUAUGGCUUAACUUUAUUUUUUUGGUGCCCCUUUCAAUUAUGGGCCCCGGGCCCAGGCCCCAGUUGCCCUCCCCAAGGGCCGGCUCUGGUUUGUGGAUACAAUUGAAAGAGAGAAGAAGCCUUUGGCUCUGGUAGCUCGGUCUAGCAAAACUAGGGUUCUAAUUUCGGGGAGCUUCUAACAUAUGGACGGUUUUACCCCUCAAUUUAACGGUAAAAUUGACAGACUUUGACGGUAGGACCAUUUUGAUACUAAGAGGGGUGUAUUCAAUUAGGAUUUUAAAAGACUAUUUUGGGAUAAAUAAGUCUUGUGGUAUUCAAUUAAGACUUUUAAAUAAUCUAAAUAAGUCUUGUAGUAUUCAAUCAGGACUAUUAUGAUAUUUUAAAGAAGGUGUCCAAAUCUAGUGGUAUUUAAUUAAGACUUUAAACAAGUAACAAAAAGUCUUUUGGUAUUCAAAAACUUGCUAAUUUCGAUGAAUUUUUUUUUAAUUAGGAAUUUGUGUGACUUUUUAAUAUGAGGUAUAAAUACCAAACCUUAUCCCAAAUCUCACCCUAACCCAUCAGACUUUUCAUGCGAGAUUUUUUAUUAUUUUUUUUCUGCUAGAGAAGAUGAACAGCUCCUCGUGAAAAUGAACAGUUCUUCGUGACACAAGGUAUUGCUUCCUUCUCAUGUUGUGUCUUCUUGCGUUUAUUAUCUGUAUAUUUCCUAUAUGCCAUGUUUUUGUAUAUCGACUGUGUCUUUAGCCCUUCGUGGGUUUGUUGCUAUUGCUGGUGGUAUUGCUUCGUGGGUUUAUAUAUGGUAGCUCUAUAGCCCUUCACAACUAUUGAUGUUUCGUGGGUAUAUAUAUGAUAGCUUUAUGGCCAUUCACAUGCUCUGUUUCUUGGUUAUCAAUUGCUGCUUCGUGUCAGGCUGUUCAUAGAUAAACCAUAUUGCUAUCAUGUAUUAUAUAUAACAAAUGGGAGAAUCAAACAAUUGAUGUUUAUGGUCUGAAUUUUAUAUAAAUAUAUAUAUAUAUAUAUGGUCUACGUUUAUUGUCUGUUUAUGGCUAUCAUGUACUAUAUGAUCCUAUAUAUAUAAAUUUUUUUUUUCAUUAGUGUUCUUUAUUUAUAAGGUCUGCGUCUUAUAACCACUAGCUAACUUUUUUCUGUCAUAUUUCAUUCAAAGCAUUGCCAUUUAUUCAUUCAAAGCAUAGCCAUUUUUUGGGUACUUGUUCCUCACCAGAUGAUUGAAAAGUACAUGCUUUGAGGUGCUAGUUUACAUUACUAGGGUGACAGUGUGUUUUCGUAUGCCCUGGCUGUGUGUUCUAAGUAUUAUCAUAAAAGGUAUUAUAAUGUUUUGCAGCCUCAUAAAUUGGUACUAUUUUCUUCUUUUUAUUGUUUUGCAGUCUCGUAUAAUGUCACAACCGAGCAUGUAUGAAAAUAAUGACAUAGAGGAAGAAGAAAUUGAUGAAGAAUUCGUGCAUCAUUGAACUAGACAUUGCUCAUCAUCCAACUAAGUUGGUUGGUUAGCAUCGUACAAAUAAAAAAUCCAUAUAAAUUCUUAUAAAUUCUUAUGAUAUAAAUCUUUAAAAUCCAAACAUAAAAAAUCCUGAGUAUAAAAAAUCUUUAAAAAAAAUCUUAUAAGUCAUUACAUUCUUAAAUAGUCUUUUAAAAUCCACUAGACUUAUUUAUCCAUAAAUAGUCUUUUAAAAUCUCAAUUGAAUACACCCCCCUAAAUGGAGAGUUGGAGGACUAUGGAAAUAAAAAUUUUAGUUGGUGGACCAACAUGAAACUCGAGCAAUAGUUGGGGGACCAUUUCGCUCAAUAACCCUUUCUUUUAUUUGUCACUAAAAGAACAUUCUGAAAAAGAAAUAAACUAUAUUGAACAUAACAAAUAACAAAUUAUAUUUUUUUAUUUUAACACUUCCAGUACUUAAUAAUACCAUAGUAUUGGGGAUGGGGAAAAAAUGCUUGAUGGGGAUGGGGAUGGGAAUGACAUACCCACCCCCGAUUCGACCCAUUGUCAUCCCUAGUAUUGAGGAUCAUUGUUCUUCUAUGAAUUUGCAGACCAAGCCUUCAAAGUGCGUGUCUUUGGGUCAAUAUGUGAACCCAAAUUUCAUUUUAUAAAGCAAUUACAAAUGUCGGCUUAAAUUCUUUUAUUACAAUGAAAGAGAAGUGAACUCUUUACUUAUCAUAAUUCUUACUAAUUUUUUGACUCAGCCUCAUCACUUGAACUAAUGUUAAUGGCUUGAGGAUUAAAUUUGUGAAUUUGGAAGAACAUGUAUGUAAUUGAAUAUCUCCGUUUUGUCGCCAACAUUAUAGUCCUUACCACUCAGCCUUAUAAGCAUGCUUUAGCUGUUUGUACCAAUCCCACAUCGGCUUGACCACAGAAGCAUGGAAGUGAAUGGACCUAUAACAAUAGAAACAAGACAUGAAGAUAAGCAUACCUUUCUCGGCCUUUUGGCUAAGAUCAAGUGUAGUAUCUGUUCUUAUCAGUUUAAUAUCUGAUACGUGGGCGAAUGGCUCGCAUGAUAUUAAAUUAAUUUAUUUAGGAGGAGGUUCCACCAUAAUAGCUUGCUAUUGGGGCUCUCAAGUGUCGCCCAAGCAUUGCAACAUUGCAUGGGCUUGGCACACUCCACCAAAUCUAGUUUAAAUGUGUCCAUUUGUAUUAUUCUUUAUUUUGGUGUUAGGGGAAGGGGAGCUACCCUAUUCUAACUAGGAUAUAUCAAGGCUUUUUUGAGGACUUACAGAAUGAGUCUUAGUCUUUAUGUUAGUUUUUACUAAUAAACAAAGAGACCGAUCCUUACGAGCUCAACCAACCCUCGUUGGCGUCUAUUUAUAUUAUUUGUAACUUGAAGAAAGUUCUGAAAAAGAAAUAAACUGUCUAUUUGUAAUUUGAAGAACAUUUUGAAAAAGACAUAAACUGUCUUGAACAUAACAAAUCACAAAUUGUAUUUCUAUAUUAUAACACUACAUGUACUUGAAUAAUGCCACAAACCUUAUUGAGUAACAUAGUUCUUCUGAAUUUGCAUACCAAGCCUUCAAACUGCAUGUCUUUGGGUCAAUAUGUGAACCCAAAUUAUUUUUUAUGGCUGAAAGUCAUUUUAUAAAGCAAUUACAAAUAUCAGCUUAAAUUCUUUUGUUACAAUGAAAGAGAAGCGAACUCUUUACUUAUCAUAAUUCUUUUUUUCUUUUUCUUUUUAAUCAAAUAGAAACUUCAUUAGAUAAACUUCAACGGUACAAUCAAAGACAUCAACAAGACAUCUAAAAUACCAAUCCCGAGAGGGCAACAGACUAACAUGCUAAAAACACAACUAACACGGAUAAAAGCCGUACUAAAACUACUAACCCACAUCACCCCAAUUAACCAUAAGCCUAAACAAAGCCCACAAACCCAACAUAACCAAAACCCUAAAACAACCCAUGAGCCUAUACGAACCCUACCACCACCACCUGAUGAAGCGUUGUUGCGGCCACACCCACCAUUGCAUUCGUAACAGAUCUGGGGAAAAUAUGAUUUCCAACGAUCUACUUGCACAUAAGAGCGAACAAAUAAAAUAAAACAACAACUUUGCCAAAGAACAAUUGGGUGAUUUGCAGCAACCUCCGUCAAAGAAGAUAUAGAAUUAAAUUUAGAGAACAUGAGCUACGUCAGGGAGCGAAUUUUGGGAGCAUGAUUUGAUUGAGAACAUAGACUAAAAGGGGUGAUCAGGAACUUCAAUCUAACCAUGGCUCAAAAGAAACCACCACAAUGGACUAUUUUUUAUAACACCCCAAUGGACUUAUUCACUAACCUAAAAGGAAAGACGAGAAGAGAAGAGGGGGAGGAGGGGCAGUGACGCUUCUUCCUCCCCCCUCUAUGAAGUUUUCCUUUAAGACUCAUAGAGGGAAAGAGUGACUAGAGUUUCUUGGGAGCCUAAACUAUUCUUGAGAUUUUACUUAUCAUAAUUCUAAUUAAUUUUUUGACUUGCCCUCAUCACUUGAACUAAUGUUAAUGGCUUGAGGAUUAAAUUUGUGAAUUUGGCAGUUGAGUGUUUCUCUAGAUUAAUUAAGCUUGUCAAAUCGCAUGCCUCUCUGGCACUUUUUUCAUCAUUUUUUAGUCAAUGAUUAUGUCUAGUUUAAAGUACCACAUCGGAAAUGCACAAGAAGUUGAGAACGAGACUAAUGUAUUAAAAAGGAACGAGAGGCACUUCAAAACAUACUUACCUGGACGGGGUCUAUGAGCGAUCAAGAAGGCUCAUGGCCUAGGUUGGUGACCUCCAUUGCACUUAGGAGGGGUUCCCGCCUAUGGUCUCCUCAACGUAGGAGAGCCAACGUCAUAAUUUAUUGCAGUGGGGGCCUGCGUUCGCGCAGCCCCUGCCUUAAUUCAAUAUCAACUUUAUGCAACUAGCUAGCAAAAUUGGCUCAUUCCUCGUCUUUCUCAAGUUGAUUUACCUUUUUGUCUGGUAUAAUUGUUUAAUAUAUCCAGUUGUGACAUGCAAAAAUAGUUAUUAAUUUAUCCCUUCAAUUCUGCAGUGACAUGCAAAAAUAAUUUUUAGUAAAAUUCAACUGGACCUUUUCUGUCAAACCAUCCAUAAAUUUCUUCAUCAAUAUCAAUCCUUGCAUAUAUAAAUUUAUAGAUAAGUGUUACAUAUUAUGUUUUUAUUUUAUUAAUAUUUCAUAGAUUUGCAUGGGCCUGGCGUAUUACUGCAAGGGCCUACUGCACCCCAUUAAACCUAGUUCAAACUUGCAAUUCUUUCGUUGUAGAGAAGAGCUACAGGGCCAUGGUCUAGUUCAUGAUUUCCAUCACCAUUAUACAACGGAAAAAGAACUAGCACCCUCGAGCAAAAUGGCCCAAGAAGCUGUUAAUGGGUCGAGGUGUAAUUCUUAAACCGUUCGUUUAUAAAAAAAAGUAAACUUUUUAUUUAUUAUAUGUCUAACUUAUUUUCAGACUUACCCUCAUCACUUGAACUAAUAUAAAGAACUUAAAAUGAUUAAAUUUGUGAAUUUGAAAAAGUUAUAUGAUAGAUUGAUAAUUAAGUACGUAUUAUAUUUUAUGUUUUUAUUUUAUUUUAUUAAUAUUUCAUAAGUUAGUUUAAUAAUUAGUAUGUAUGAUGAGAUUCCCUUAAUCCCUCAUCCAACGUGAGUAGUGAGCGCUGUUCUGUGGGAUAGUUUGUUCCUUUGUAGUUAGAUGUUAUAGUGGAUGAAACUUGAUAAUUAUUAACUAACUUUUAGUUAGAGGUCAGUUUCCUCCACAAACCCCACCUAAAAGACGUCAAGGGUUCCUACAUAAAACCCACUCAAAAGAGGUCAAGGGUUUCUCCAUAAUCCCCAAUUCCAUACUCUCAUUGUUUCUCCUAGUUUAAUCCACUCAUUUAAGCAUCAUUGCGAUUGCAUGAUGAAAAGUGCUAAUUAGGGGCCUGUUUGAUAAUCAUUUCAAUUUUAGUUUUUAGUUUUUCUUUUUUGUGCUAGAGUAUAGAGGAAAAUGAGAGUGAGUAUGAGAUUGAAAGAGAUGAUGAGAGGGGAGGAUGGAAGAGAGGAGUAACAAAUGUGAAAACAAUUUGAAAUUGACUUUAGUUUUUAGUUUUUGUUUUCAGUUUUAUUACUCCUCCCUCCCAUCCUCUCCUUUUAUCUUUCUUCUUAAUCUCAUCUCCAUUCACAUUCUCACUUCUAUUCUCCCUCUUUAUCCUCUAUACUCUAGCACAAAAAAUGAAAACUAAAAACUAAAAUUGAAACGGACCUUAAAUUUGUUAAACAUUAAUAUUUUAGUGCUAAUGGGGUUUGUUCAAAAUUGAAUAUUCUAUGAAGAUUUUGUAUGAUUAAUAGUGAAAACUAAGAAAAGAGUGAAGUUCUAAGCAAUUUGGAAUCGCACAUAGUACACAUACCAAACUUUGGCCAUACCUUUUUACCAAAUUGCAAGCAGCCUUUUGCUUCUCUUAUAUGAGAAAUACAAUCCUUUUUUAGAACGUGUAUGUAAUUGAAUAUCUUCGUUUUGUCACCAAUAUUUUAGCCUUGUCAACACAUGUAUGCAUGCAUAACCCAAAUCAAUUAUGCUCUCAGCCUUCGUAGCCCCCUUUUGCUUUUUGUAAAUGUUGAACAGUCCCACAUCGACUGGACCAAUAACCAUGGAAGUGAAUGGCCCGAUAAAAAGAGAAACAAGAGAAGAGAAAAGGCAUACCUUUCUCGGCCUUUUGGCUAAGAUCAAGUGUAGUAUCUGUUCUGAUCAGUUUAAUAUCUGAUAUGUGGGUCAAUGACCCACACGAUAUUAAAUUAAUUUCUCUAGGGGAGGGUCCGCUACAGUAGCUUGCUAUUGGGGCUCUCAAGUGUCGCCCAAGCGUUGCACUAUUGCAUGGGCUUGGUGCACCCCACUAAAUUUAGUCUAUUUUUUUUUUAAUUUUACGAUUAUUGAUUGACAUGGUUUUUCAAUUAUUGCUCGAGUUUCAUUUUGGUCGACCAAUUAAAAUUUUCAUUUCAAUAGUCCUUCAAUUCUCCAUUUAGCAUCAAAAUUGUCAUAUUGUCAAAGUCUGUCAAAUAUUUUGUGAAAUUGAAGGGCAAAAUUGUCAAAUCAAAAUCGCUGCAAAUUAGGCACCACAAGAAAAACCCAGAAGCCAAAAAAAACACUCAUUUCACUGCGUACUAAUAGCCUGAUCAAAAGAAGAUAUGGGUUGUGUCGUCAACAGAAGCCACGUUUCUGGUAAUGUUCGAUCUGUGAAGAGGUUGGUGGAUAUGGUGGGAUGAAGGAGAAGAGAUGAAGGAAUGGCUUGGGUAGGAGAAUGGGGAUUUAAUGAUAGAGCGAAAUGGGGUUGUUCGAACAAGAAGUCUACUCUCAUCGUUUGCUCCACUAACAUUGUUGUUUAUAUGUUCGUUCUCUCUAUGCUUCUCUGUACAUCCACUUCAUUAACAUUGUUGUUGGAUUGAAUUGGUAGAGCGAUUUGCUGUAACUUUUAUAAUUUAACGGAGAACCUUUGUUAUGCUCAAAAGGUAAAGGCACUAGGAGCUUUCUAGAGAUGCAGUGGUAGAAUUGCCACAACCUUUGAAAUUGAAGUUACCAAUGAGAUAGUUGAGAUGUUGAAAACCUUGAGGCCCAAAGCAAAUUUUACUGAGCAGAGAGGAAGGUGGAAGACCGUGAACAAGUGUUUGAGGAUACAAUUGAAAGAGAGAAGAAGCCUUUGGCUCUGGUAGCUGGGUCCAGCAAAACUAGGGUUCUAAUUUCGGGGAGUGUCUAACAUAUGGACGGUUUUACCCCUCAAUUUAAUGGUAAAAUUGACAGACUUUGGGGUAGGACCGUUUUGAUACUAAAUGGAGAGUUGGAGGACUGUUGAAAUGAAAAUUUUAGUUGGUGGACCAACAUGAAACUCGAGCAAUAGUUGGGGGACCAUUUCGGUCCAUAACCAUUUCUUUUAUUUGUUACUACAAGAACAUUCUGAAAAAGAAAUAAACUGUAUCGAACAUAAAAAUAACAAAUUGUAUUUCUCUAUUUUAACACUUCAUGUACUUAAUAAUGCCAUAGUAUUGGGGAUGGGGAUGGGAAUGACAUACCUACCCCCAAUUCGACCCAUUGUCAUUCCUAAUAUUGGGGAUCAUUGUUCUUCCAUUGCAGACCAAGCCUUCAAAGUGUGUGUCUUUGGGUCAGUAUGUGAACAUAAAUGUCAUUUUAUAAAGCAAUUACAAAUGUCGGCUUAAAUUCUUUUGUUACAAUGAAAGAGAAACGAACUCUUUACUUAUCAUAAUUCUUAUUAAUUUUUUGACUAACCCUCAUUACUUGAACUAAUGUUAAUGGCUUGAGGAUUAAAUUUGUGAAUUUGGAAGUUAAGUGUUUAUGUAGAUUAAUUAAGCUUGUCAAAUUGUAUGUGCCUUUGGCACUUUUUCCAAGUGAUUAUGUUUAGCUUAAAGUACCACAUCGGAAAUGCACAAGAAGUAGAGAGCGGGACUGAUGUAUUUAAAAGGAACAAGAGGUACUUCAAAACAUACUUACCUGGACGGAGUCUAUGGGUGAUCAAGAAGGCUCAUGGCUUAGGUUGGUGACCUCCAUUGCACUUAGGAGGGGUGCCCGCCUAUGGUCUCCUCAACGUAGGAGAGCCAACGUCAUAAUUUGUUGCAGUGGGGGCCUGCGUUCGCGCGGCCCCUUCCUCAAUUCAAUAUCAACCUUAUGCUGCUGGCUAUCAAAAUAGGCUCAUCCCUCGUUUUCCUCAAGUUGAUUUUUUCUUUUUGUCUGGUAUAAUUGUUUGAUAUAUCCAGCUUUGACGGAGUUUAUUCUUAGCCCAAAACAAUAUAUCACAAUUUAAUCUAAAUCAACAUGUUCUUCUGCUAAAAAAAAUCAGCAUGUUUGUAGCCAUUACAUUUUUUUUUUCUUUUUUUCUUUUUUUUUUUUUUUUGCGAAAGAAGAACUUAUUGAUAACAAUUAAGAGGAUACAACCAUGUCAUCGUUUACAAUUGAUUCCAGCCAGAAGGGAACUUCUUCAAUCCAAGUUACCAUAGUAUUACAAUUAAGAGCAUGCUUUGCUAGAAAAUGCGCUACUUGGUUAGCCCCUCUUGGACUAUAAGAGAUAAUAACAUCUUCAAAGUGUUGUAGACUCCUCUUAAUAUCACCAAUAAGAUGCCCAUCUGAUGCCCAAGACUCUUCCUCGUCCUUUUUUACAUCAAUUACCACCCCUUGUGAAUCAGAUUCAAUUAAAAUGAAAGAAAAGCCAGCAUCCCGAGCAAUAAUUAUUAGUCUAGAUUCCCUCCCUCAUAAUCCAAUAUAAGUAGUGGGUGGUGUUCUAUGGCAUAGUUUGUUCCUAUUUUGUAGUUACAUGUUGUUGAUAGUAGAUGAAGCUUUUGCUGUAGGCCAUCUAUCUUCCAUGUUUUAAUUAUCUAUAUGUAAGUUACAACUAUAUGAAGGUGUAUAAUUUAUGGAAUAUUAUCUAUAUAUAUAAAGCAAAAGGCAGAGAAUGGUGAAACAUUCAAAAUACCAGAAAAUAUCCUUGGUUAAUGCAAACAUUAAGAACUAAACUUAUUAAUUAAAUGAGGAUAAUAUGGUAAAUUCACACUUUUUAUAAAAAAUUAAAAUUAAAUAAAAAAUAAUGGAUCCUAUUUUUAUGGAACACUUUUUAAUUCUAAAAAAAAUUUAAAUUUUUUUUAAAAAAAUGCCUCUCGCAAGCGCGAAAGCGCGUGCAGAAAGGCUAGUAAAUAUGAAGGGAAUUAUUAACUAAAUAGUUUGUUCCUCCAUAAACCCCACUACUGCAUGAGGGCGCACCCUACUAAACUCUUUAAACUUGCAAUCCUUUAGUUAUAGAGAAGAGCCACAGGCCCAUGAUCUAUUUGAUGAUUUCCAUCGCAAUUAUACAAUGAAAAAAGAAUUAGCGCCUUAGACUAAAAUGGCCUAGCAAGCUGUUAACGGUUCGAUAUGUAAUUCUUCAACCGGUCUGUUUGAUAACCAUUUUAAUUUUAGUUUUUAGUUUUUAGUUUUUCUUUUGUGUGCUAAAGUAUAGAGAAAAAUGAGAGUGAGUAUGAGAUUGAAAGAGAUGAUGAAAGGGGAGGAUGGAAGAGAGGAGUAACAAAAGUGAAAACAAUUUGAAAUAAAUUUCAGUUUUUAAUUUUUAGUUUUUGUUUUCACUUUUGUUACUCCUCCCUCCUAUCCUCCUAUCCUCCCAUCCUUCACUCUCAUCUUUCUUCUUGAUCUCAUCUCCACUCUCAUUCUCACUUCUAUUCUCCCUCUUUAUCCUCUAUACUCUAGCACAAAAAAUAAAAACUAAAAACUAAAAUUGAAAUAGUUAUCAAACGGACCCUAGAUUUGUUAAACAUUAAUAUUUUGGUGCUAAUGGGGUUUGUUCAAAAUUGGAUAUUCUAUGAAGAUUUUGUAUGAUGAAUAGUGAAAACUAAGAAAAGAGUAAAGUUCUAACCAAUUUGGAAUCGCACAUAGUACACAUACCAAACCUUGGACAUACCUUUUUCCCAAAUUGCAAGCAGCCUUUUGCUUAUCUUAUAUGAGAAAUACAAUCUUUUUUCAGAACGUGUAUGUAAUUGAAUAUCUUUGUUUUGUCGCCAAUAUUUUAGCCUUUUCAACACAUGUAUGCAUGCAUAACCCAAAUCAAUUAUGCUCUCAGCCUUCGUAGCCCCCUUUUGCUUUUUGUAACUGUUGAACAGUCCCACAUCGACUGGACCAAUAACCAUGGAAGUGAAUGGCCCGAUAAAAAGAGAAACAAGAGAUGUGAAAAGUCAUACCUUUCUCGGCCUUUUGGCUAAGAUCAAGUGUAGUAUCUGUUCUUAUCAGUUUAAUAUCUGAUAUGUGGGUCAAUGACCCACACGAUAUUAAAUUAAUUUCUUUAGGGGGAGGGUUCGCUACGGUAGCUUGCUAUUGGGGCUCUCAAGUGUCGCUCAAGCGUUGCACUAUUGCAGGGGCCUGGCGCACCCCACUAAAUUUAGUCUAAUUUUUUUUUUUUAACGAUUAUUGACUGAAAUGGUUUUUCAAUUAUUGGUUCAGUUUUAUUUUGGUCGACCAAUUAAAAUUUUCAUUUCAAUAGUCCUUCAAUUCUCCAUUUAGUUUCAAAAUUGUCAUAUUGUCAAAGUUUGUCAAAUAUUUUGUGAAAUUGAGGCGCAAAACUAUCAAAGUUUAUCCAUCCCUACGAAUAGCCUAAUCAAAAGAAGAUAUGGAUUGUGUCAACAGAAGCCACGUUUCUGAUAAUGAUCGAUCUGUGAAGAGGUUGGUGGAUAUGGUAGGAUGAAGGAGAAGAGACAAAGGAAUGGCUCAGUUAGGAGAAUGGGGAUUUAAUGAUAGAGCGAAAUGGGGUUGUUCGAACAAGAAGACUACUCUCAUCGUUUGCUUCACUAACAUUGUUAUUGCUUAUAUAUUCGUUCUCUCUACGCUUCUCUAUACAUCUACUCCAUUAACAUUGUUGUUGGAUUGAAUUGGUAGAGCGAUUUGCUGUAACUUUUAUAAUUUAAUGGAGAACCUUUGUUAAGGUAAAUGCACUAGGAACUUUCUAGAGAUGCAGUGUAGGAAAUAAUAGUGCUAAAUUGCUAUAAAAUAAACAAAUAAACACUACAAACAAAACAAAUUUUUACAACAGUAGUAUGUAAUUAAAAUAACCUUAAUUGAGUCUAGGCAAGUGUUGGACACUCUGACCUUAAGACGAAUUACGCCACACACUGGUGCUUAUGGUUCACUAGCGUUCGCCUCCCAGGAUACAACGACUCCCCUCCUUAUGAAAGAAGCACUGCAAUGCACAAGGAACUUUGAACCAAAAUUAUGCAGGAAACUCUCUUUAUGCAAACUCUUCGGUGGACUUCCCCCACAUUUAAGGUAUUUGUAGGGUCUUCAACCUUUUUAUACCUUAAAAUAAACAUUAUUCUUCUCUUUUAAAGAGCAAAGUACUUUUCCAUUCUUACACAAAUAUGAGAUUACAAAGAUAGUUAAGUCACCCCCACAAUUCUCUUACAAUUGUGGUUGCUAUUAAACUACCAAUGAAAUUUCAUACCUUAAACUUUGCAUAUUACGUCUAGUGCAAUUUUGCAAUAAACCCCCACAUUUUCGGAUUCUCAACAUUUGUGUAAUUUUGUUACACAUAUGAAUAUCCUUUAGGAAAUUUCGAAGCCACUUUACUCAUCAUUUCCUUUUAAUGGAAAUUUUCCCUUUCAUACAGACCAUUGUAGUUUGAAGCCUCAUAAUUAGAAACUUAAUUCUACAAAAUAGGGCUUUAUCCCCACAUUUCAGUUGUUGUCUUUGUAAGACGGAGAAAUACAUGUUUCUGGUCAUUUCAACACUACUUCUCUUCUUGGAAGUAUUCGUCAAUUGUGUUUGUCAAAUAUAGAUAAUACACUGACAUGUUUUCCCUCUUUAGGAAAAUUUGCAAAAACCAAAUAUUUGCAAUCUUUCUAUAUGCAAUCCAAUAUAUCAAUUGCGUAUCUUGAUGUCAACCCAAUGGUUCAUAUACAUACGUUGAUAUAAGUAACUAGAAACAAGCACUAUAUGCUUCUUAAUGUAUUUGAUCUGCAGAAUCCAUGCAUCAUUUAUGAAUGCAAAAUUUAUAUGAACAGUCAGAAGCCCAACAAAUGGAUUGAAAAGCCUAUAACCGUUAGAAACUGAAAAUCAAAUUUCUAGUUGGAUCACGUCCAGACACAAUGGCUUCAUUUUAUAUAGACAGGAAAUGGUCCAACAUGCAUACAUAAUUUUAGAUUGUAAAAAAAUUUUACAACCCACUUGAUUCAAGUUUAUUCUUCACAUGUUGACCAUGAAUUUACCAACUAGUUAAAUAGAUGCAACGGUAAAAUAUAGCAACUACACCAUAAUAAUUCGUCUUAAGAUUGUAAGAAAUAAUAGUGCUAAAUUGCUAUAAAAUAAACAAAUAAACACUACAAACAAAAUAAAUUUUUACAACAGUAGUAUGUAAUUAAAAUAACCUUAAUUGAGUCGAGGCAAGUGUUGGACACUCUGACCUUAAGACGAAUUACACCCCACACUGGUGCUUAUGGUUCACUAGCGUUCGCCUCCCAGGAUACAACGACUCCCCUCCUUAUGAAAGAAGCACUGCAAUUCACAAGGAACUUUGAACCAAAAUUAUGCAGGAAACUCUCUUUAUGCAAACUCUAAUGCCCUCUAUAUAUGAAAGUAUGUAUCUAGAGAAUUAAUUGAAUGAAUAAAACUGUAGGAGGAUUGCUCUAUUUAUAGAUGAUGAAAUACCCUUUCUAAAAAGGUAUCUCAAUCUGAAAAGGCAAACAAUGCAUUCCUUGGUCUGAAGAGUUGUCACCCAAACAAUGCAUUCCUUGGUUUGAAGAGUUGUCACCCUCCAUGUGAAGAUGUCUUUAACCCAAUGAAUUUUAUUAAUUUCCAUUCAAAUAGGAAAAUCAAUAUUAGUUAAUAUUAAAUUUUCCAACAUGCAGUGGUGGAAUUGCCACAACCUUUGAAACUGAAGUUACCAAUGAGAUGGUUGAGAGGUUGAAAACCUUGAUGCCCAAAGCAAAUUUUACUGAGCAGAGAGGAAGGUGGAAGACAGUGAACAAGUGUUUGUGGAUACAAUUGAAAGAGAGAAGAAGCUUUUGGCUCUGGUUGUUGGGUCCGGCAAAACUAGGGUUCUAAUUUUGAGGAGCUUCUAUCAUAUGGACCGUUUUACCCCUCAAUUUAACGAUAAAAUUGACAAACUUUGAUGGUAUGACCAUUUUGAUACUAAAUGGAGAGUUGGAAGACUAUUGAAAUGAAAAUUUUAGUUUGUGGACCAACAUGAAACUCAAGCAAUAAUUGGGGGACAAUUUCGGUCAAUAACCCUUUCUUUUAUUUGUCACUACAAGAACAUUCUGAAAAAGAAAUAAAUUGUAUCGAACAUAACAAAUAACAGAUUGUAUUUCUUUAUUUUAACACUUCCUGUACUUAAUAAUGCCAUAGUAUUGGGGAUGGGGAUGGGAAUGACAUACCCACCCCCGAUUCGACCCAUUGUCAUUCAUAAUAUUAAAGAUCAUUGUUCUUCCAUGAAUUUGCAGACCAAGCCUUCAAAGUGUGUGUCUUUGGGUCAGUAUGUGAACAUAAAUGUCAUUUUAUAAAGCAAUUACAAAUGUCGGCUUAAAUUCUUUUGUUACAAUGAAAGAGAAGCAAACUCUUUACUUAUCAUAAUUCUUACUAAUUUUUUGACUAACCCUCAUCACUUGAACUAAUGUUAAUGGCUUGAGGAUUAAAUUUGUGAAUUUAGAAGUCAAGUAUUUAUGUAGAUUCAUUAAGCUUGUCAAAUUGUAUGUGCCUUUGCCACUUUUUCUAAGUUAUUAUGUUUAACUUAAAGUAACACAUCGGAAAUACACAAGAAGUAGAGAGCGGAACUGAUGUAUUUAAAAGGAACAAGAGACACUUUAAAACAUACUUACCUGAGUCUAUGGGCGAUCAAGAAGGCUCAAGGCUUAAGUUGGUGACCUCCAUUGCACUUUGGAGGGGUGCCCGCCUAUGGUCUCCUCAACGUAGGAGAGCCAACGUCAUGAUUUGUUGCAGUGGGGGCCUGCGUUCACGCGGCCCAUUCCUCAAUUCAAUAUCAACCUUACUUCUUCAAGUUGAUUUUACUUUUGUCGGUUAGUUUAGUAUCCCAAGUCCAAUAAUUAUUAGUCUAGAUUCCCUCCCUCAUAAUCCAAUAUAAGUAGUGGGUGGCGUUCUAUGGGAUAGUUUGUUCCUAUUUUGUAGUUAUAUGUUGUUGAUAGUAGAUGAAGCUUUUGCUAUAGGCCAAUUAUCUUCCAUGUUUUAAUUAUCUAACUAUAUGAAGGUGUAUAAUUUAUGGAAUAUAUAAAUAUGAAGGGAAUUAUUAACUAAAUAGUUUGUUCCUCCAUAAACCCCACUACUGCAUAAGGGCGCACCCCACUAAACUUAGUUCAAACUUGCAAUCCUUUAGUUGUAGAGAAGAGCCACAGGCCCGUGAUCUAUUUUAUGAUUUCCAUCGCAAUUAUAUACAAUGGAAAAAGAAUUAGCGCCUUAGAGUAAAAUGGCCCAGCAAGCUGUUAACUGUUCGAUGUGUAAUUCUUCAACCGUUCAUUUAUAAAAGGUUUAAUUACUGUUAAAGUGAGACUGAGCGCCUAUUUUAGAGGUAAAAUAGUAAUUAAACCUUUAUAAAAAUAGAUGUAUUCAGAUGUAUACUCAUUAUUAAUACUAGUGAUAUAAAUAAACCCUACACCAUUUAAUUUCUAUAAAGAAACCCAAAAAAAGAUAACUGGCCCUAUUGAAUUUAAUUUUGAUUAUUAAAUUACUUUGACGCUCUGUUGAGUGUUUUGAGUUUUUUUUUUUUAAUGAGGUUUUGGGAUUGGGCUUGUUUUAAGAAAAUCGAUGGUAGUUUUGUAAGUUAUAGGAAAUUCGAAGCCUCUUUAUUAUGUUGUAAAUAAACUUUGGGUGUAUUCCUAAGUCCAUUUCUUGUAUGCUUUUCUUUUUUUAAUAAUUUGGGCCCCUAUAUUGAGUACAAUAGUGAAACUCCCUAUAAAAUAUCAUCGUAUAUUUUGGAAAUUUGCUUAAGAAUAAGCUUCUAUCUAGUUUGCUUUAAAAUAAAUAAUUAUAAAUAAUACAAAAGUACGUCCCUGUUUGGUAUCUUACUAAAAAAAUUAACUCAAAAAUUAUAAUUCUUUUUAAAAAGAUGUGUUUUCAACUAGUAAUUUUAAGAUCUAAAAACUUCUUUGGUAUCAAACUCCAAACUAUUUUUAAGAUCUAAACAAAAUUAAAAUUAAAAUUAAAAUAAAAAAACCCUAGAUUUCCAAAUUGAAAUUAACAAAAGAAAAGAAAAACAUGUGAGCUUUCAAUUGAAACCCUAAAACCCAAAACAUGAAAAAAGAUUAAUCAAUUUGGGGUCAAGUAGUGGACGAAGGAGACCUCGAUAGAGCUGUAAACGAAGGUUUCGACUCAGAGCCACACUCCCAUGUGUUUUAUAGAGCGAGAGAGAGAGAGAGAGAGAGAGAGAGAGAGAGAGAGAGAGAGAGAGAGAGAAACUAUAAAACUUCACUUUUUUUUGUUUUCAAUAAUAGGGUUAUUUUUUUAGUUUGUUUUGGGUUUGGGUUUUUUUAAAUGGGCUUACUAGGAUUUUUUAAGCUUUGGACUUAAAAUAUAGUUUUUAAUUUAUAAAAUUGGAUUCAAGUAUGACAUCAAACGGGCCCUACAUAUUCUGUGAAAUUUGAGACGACAACCUUCAAUAUUUUAAGGAUCAAAGCAAAAUAAGAACCAAAAAAAAAUUUGAUCAAGGGAUAGUCAUCCUCAUCAUAAAAUAAAAUCAUUUAAAAAUCCUACAACUAAUGAAAUUGCACAUGUAAUUCAUAUUAAAAAGUGAAGUAAAUCACUUUCUUGAUACACCAUUGUUAAAGUUGUUUAGGAGUUAUUCUGGAUAGGCCAAAAAACACUUCUAUGGAGAAUUACUUCUCUAAAUAAUCACUUUAGAUAGUUUUAAGUGAUUUUAUGGAGAAACACAUGGGAGUUGCUUCUACCCAAAAUCACUUAGAUGGAGAAGCACAUGGGAGGUGUUCUCCCCAUAAAUGAUUUUGGCCUAUCCAUAAUCAUUCCCAAAAAACUCGUUUAUUAUUCGAGUUUUUAUUAAAAAUAGCAAAAAUUUAUCCCUACUUUCAAAUGUCAGUUUUUAUAAAAACUUUCAACAAUAGCCAAAAACUCAGCUAAAUAGACUUAGAUACCCUUAAAACUAAAACCCACAUAAACA
rnacentral:lncRNA from 1 species